rnacentral:lncRNA from 1 species
UUCAAUAGAUCGGCUGAUGGGUCUAUUGAGAAGAUCGAAGCUCAGAAGCAAUUACAGAAUGAGAUUUUAAGCAGGCAGCAAGUGGAUCAAAAUAUACAUCAAAUCAUAGCACUAGUUUUUGGGGAAGAAAAUGUGUCGAAAAUGAUUGAGUCCAUUCGACCAGCAGGCCAGCCUCGGGUAAUUUUUAAAAUCCUCCCCUGAGGUUUGGGCUUGUUGCAAGUAGAUGGCGAGAAUCCGUUUAUUUAUAAAACAAUCCCUACCGUCAGUUAGUUUUUACAUUGACCAUUAGUUGACUGUGCAAAGACAAUAUUGUCGCUAUUGACAGUUUGUAGACUAACAUAGCUAAAAAAAUGCUGAGAUUGUUGGCACGAAAAUCACAAAUCCUUUUUAUUCCCUAAGGAUAAACACUCGCAUGAAGCUACAACAAUCCCCUGGCACUCGAAAAAAAGAACCUGCACCACCAAGACCAUAUAUUUCAUUUUUGCAAAAUAAUCAUUUUUGGUUGCUUAAUUUUGGAAGUAUAAUAAUAAUAAUAAUAAUAAUAAUAAUAAUAAUAAUAAUAAUAAUAAUAAUAAUCACAAAAAAUUAAUCUUUGGUGGAGAAUUUUAAAUUGAAACCGACUCAGGAACCUACAAUUGAUCAAAAGGAACCUAAUAGUAAUAAAAAAGUAACCGAUCAAAAAUCAUUAAGGAUAAUAAAAAUAUUGAAUUUAAAUAACUAAAAAUGCCAUCGGAAAUUGAAAUUAAUUAUUUAACAUAUAGCAUGAAACAAAUCUUCACUAUUGGUGCUAGGCGACUGUCAUUCAGCUUGGAUCUAAGAGGUGGCGCGUUCGAGGUCAAAUAAGCUGCAGCAGAGGUGGCAGGGGGCAGAUUGCAGCGAGGUCGCGGUGGAGCAAAGGUUGUGUCGCGGUGGAGAAGAGGUUGCGUUGCGCUGACUUGGCUUCACGGUGAUGGGAUGGCUGGGCUGGGUAGCCGCUUGGCCGGCUGUGUGUGCGCUGUAUUGGAUUGUAUUUUCACUUUUUUGAUAAUUUCUUGUGUGUUAAUUUAGAUUAGAUUAGUGAGUUUGUGUGUGUUGUGUGUUUACAAUUGAUUUGAUUAGAUAUUUAAGUUAAAACAAUUUAUUGCAAACUUUUUUUUGUAAGUUUGGCUUUUAUUUGUGUCAUAAUAAAGUAACUGAAAUGACUAGUUACUGUUCUCAAAGCAACGAAAGUUGCAAAAAAUUUGUUUUAUUGCGAAAUGUCAACAAUGCCCACAACUACCCAAACGGCAACCAAACGGAGCAAAAAUAUAGGGGGUUUUUUUACAAAUAAAUAAAUUCUCACUAUCUACUUGCAACAAGCUCAAACCUCAGGGAAGGUUUUUAAAAAUUACCCGGCCAGCCUCUUGUAGACGACUGGGAUUGCUUGAAAAUGCUUGUAAGUUUUUAUAUUAUUAUUAUUAUUUUUAAUUAAUUCCAUUAUUAUCUCAAGCAUACACACGUAGGCACACACAUAAUCAUUUUUAGGUGCGGCUGCCCUCAAUUUUUUCAAUGCAGCUGUCCGCAUGGUUUAACUGUGUGUGUAUAUAUAAUUUAAUUGAUUAUUUUGAUUAAUUAAUUAAUUAUAUAUAUAGGUGAGAAUUUAUGGGGAAAUUUGUGGAUUAUUAUCAGUAUAUGGAAAGAAGUACACAAGAGCACUGGCCAACAUGUGCAAUGCUGGAAUCAAUGAGAAGCAGAUGACUUUGGCAUCCAAUCAAGCUUGUAUGAAAUAAAAUAAGUAAAAUGAUUAUUUGAAUAAGUUCUUGAAAUAAAAUACGUCUUUGAAUAUUUGAAGAAUAUACCUAAAGCUUUUAAUUUCUCUGUUUAAAAAUAUAUUUUCUUUCUUUUAAUUUCUUUCUUUGAGGAAAAAAAUGUGAUUUGAUUUUCUUUUUAUACGGUUCAAUUGAUAUUGUAGCUAGUUGUUAUCAGGCCUAAAAACUUCAGUAGUUGGAUGAAAAUAACCCAAAAAGAAAAAUAAAUGAUAACAAAAUAAGAAUAAAGAAUAAAUCCUUUAAUUUGAAUUUUUUUUUUUCCCGAUAAGAUCAUUCUUUUAACCAGAUCCAAAGAAAUGCUUUAUACUUUUUUUGCAUGACACUUGAGAAAAGAAAAAAACACAUUAGAAGAAAAAUAAAGAAUUAUGAUAUUUCAAGACAACAGCUAUAAGAUAACAAAACCCAAAGCAAAUAUGAAAAAAAAAACAAUAAAAAAAGGCAUUAACAUUCUUUAUCCAUCCUUCAAUUAUUGCCUCAAUAUUAACAAAUCAUUUAAAAUCCCAAAGAUCAUAUUAAUUGUGCUAUUGAGGCUUUGGGACAUUGUAAUCAAAGGGUGAGAAAGCUAUCCUUUUUUUUCCCUAUAAAAAGUUUUAUUUUCUUAAUCAUUAUCAUGCGUAAUUAAAAAAUUAUCAAAAUCACCACCUAAAGCAACUUAUAAAUAUGAAAAUAGUGCUAAACAUCUCAAAUUUUUUAUUUUAAAAAAUUAUAUCAGAUUAUGUGACAUUCACUAAUUAGUUGGAGAGAUAAUAUAAUUAAUUUAUCUAGAUUUAGUAAAAAAUUAUCAAUUAUUCAAUUAAUAAAAUUUAGAAUAAAGAAUUUGGAAUGUCUGUCGUACUCUAAAUAUAAUAGGCACCAAAAUAAUGAAAAAUUAAAGUUUAAGAGUUCAAAAUAUUUUAUUUAUAGUCUCAUGAAUAGAACAACAUAAUUGCAAACGGCACAUUUUCUCACUAACGUUUCUUUGUUGGCACACGUAAUUAUAAAAAAUUUAGAACAGUAGUACCGAAUGAGCUUGAAUUAAUUAAUUGUAUUGUGUGUAAUGCAUUGAGGUAUGCUCAACUAAGAUUUGGAAAUUGUUUAAAAAAAAUGAAAUCAUGGAUAUAUUUUCAGAUAAUCCAUAAGUAUUUGAAAAAAAAUAAAGUAUUUAACACCUUAUUAUAUCCUGAUAAAUAUCUCUUCUACUAAACUUGACAAACACUAAUAUAACAAACCCCAAUUAUUUUCUCCUGUAUUCUUUUGCGCUCUCAUAGGUGUCAUUUUAUUUUUUUGAGUCUUUUGUUGCUAAAUUUUUAGAUUCAUGAUCAGUUCAUUUUCAUGAUUUUUUUUUUUAGUCUAUGAUCUUCAUCUAUACAAAUUUAAAAUACUCCCUUUUGUUUUCUUCAUUUUUUCAGAUUAAUUAUUUUUAAUUUUGGGAAACUAAUGUUUUUAAGUUUUGUAAAGAAAGAAAGUUUGGAGAGAAGAAUAAAGAUAACAAUACUUCAAAAGAAAUUACCACUUAUAGAAUUGUUUGUGUGAAAGGUAAGGUAAGAAGACUAUUAAAAAAAAUUUAAGAGUGAGAAAAUUGAUAGAAAUCAAAGAAAAUUUGGAAAUCAAAGCACACUCAAAUUAAGGAUGAUAAUUUAGAAAGAAAUUGUCUUUUUAGUAUUAAAUGAAUCAUAAUUGAAAGGGGGUUUUAAAAGAAUAAUAGAAAGGUGUUAAAAGCCUCUCUCUUUUCAAUUUCGUGUACCUUUCUAUUGUUUGGUUGACCACAAAAUGGGGGAAUUUAAUUUCCUUUGAAAUUUAAAUUCCAUCUAAUUAAGGGAUCUGAAUUAUUCGCGAAGAGUGAAGCAGGGGCAGAGCUACUUAUGGGUUGGGCCUAUAGCUCGUCCAAAAUUUUGAUAAAUUUACAAAAAUAUCAUUGUGCAAAAUUUUAAAAAUUGUCAUUGCUUUACACUUUUAUUUACAAUUACCAUUCUAUUAAUUUACCAUUUUACCAUUCAAAUAAAUAAAUAAAUAAAAUUAGCAUUUACUUAAUUCUUUGAGAACGUGCUCUCUUUGUUUGUUGGCUUCUUUGUGCUGACAUGCUCUACUUCUUCGGUUAUUCGUCUUCUCUUGGUAAGUAUAUAUAACAAAUUUAUUUUUUAUUUGAUUAUUUACAAUAUAUUUAUAGAUUGUCAGGUAGUAAAAACUAAAAAUCAUUUUCUUUACUUAGUUCAUGUUCUAAUUUUAUUGUGUAAGAUUAAAUUAUUGUUAGGUCAAACCAUUGAAUUCUAGCAAUUAAAAUUUAAAAUUGAUUAUUGAUAAUAAUAAAUUAGAGAUAAUUAUUUCAGUGAAAAAGAAGAAGUGCUGCAAGAGCUUAUCAAGACACCACUUUGAAAUAAGAUGGAGAAUUUUCUACAUCAGAUUAUAUGGUUAUCUAUAUUGAAAGAAAAUUUCUAGACAUUGUGAAUUCAAAUUCAAUAAUAGAUGAAUUUAAUUCUCGAAAGUUUAGAAAGACAGAAGUAAAAUAUUACUUAAUUGUAAUUGAAUUGCUUCUUAAAUUUGAUGUAUUUUCUUAUGUAUUAAUGAAAUUUUCAUUAAAAUUUAUAUUUUUAAUUGCAAUAAUAGUUGGACUUGGAAAAAAUUUAGCACACCCAAAAAAAAUUUCCUUACUUCACCCCUGAAAUGAAGAAUCCAAAUUCCAAAUUCGCUAGAAAUCGAAACUUCCAAAUCUACCUCUUUUAUACUUUACUAUUAAUUAGUUCAUUGUUACUAAAUCAAUUAUUAUUUAUAAUUUUUUUGUCACGUAAUUCAAUGGCAAAGUUUGAUUCAACAAGAAAUUUUUUUAAAAAGAUUUUUUUAUUUAACUAAAAAAAACUCGUUAAUUACACUUAAAUGUAAUUUUUUAUUUAAAAAUAAAUAAUAAUUGAGUAGGGGUAAGAAUACAUUUUAUAACUAAUUGUAGAGAUAGAAAUAUCAUUUUGUAGCUAUUACAAGGGCAAAAAAAGUUAUUUUAUAAUUAAUUUUAGGAGCAAAAAUAUCAUUUUAUAAUUAUUUUUAUGUUUCCAUUAAAGUUAACAGAUUAUUACCCGCUCAAGUAUUUUUUAAAAAAUAUGUCACUUUUUAAAAAUUUAUCAAAACAUGUGUCACCCAAGGGUAAUUAUUUCUGAUUUUUUAAAUUCUUAGGUGUUUGCCAUUUGAUUUAAUCAUGUAACAUAUACAUUAAUACCUAUGGCGAGAAAACAUAUCUCAUCCUUCUAUCAACAAACAGUAACCUCUAAAUCUUCCAGCUUGUUUUUGGGGUUUGAGGCAUUUUCGUCUUUCACUAUUCAAAUGGACGGUUAAGCUGAUGGCAGGAGUGGUAUGUAAUAAUACAGCAAACUCACCAUCUAAAUAUAAAUACAUGAAACUUCAGGGGAAGCUAUCUAAACUUUACCCUACUAGAAAAUGGGCCCAAUCCCCGUUAGCAGCCCCCAUUGAAAGAGUGCGGCAAAGCAACCACCUGGGUAAAAGUACAUCUUAAAAAUAAACAUGAAAAAGAAUAGGAUAUCCCUAUCUUAUAUGUAUAUAAGAUAUAUUUUUUCACAUAAAUAGUAUAUGUGGAUGAAAGGUUCAGAAUGAAAGAACCAUUGACACCGAAUUUAUUAUAAAUAAAAUUAAUUAUUUGUUUAUGACCUGAUUGAAGGUUGAUAUAAAUCUUGUAUUUUAUGACUUUAUAACGAUUUUUAGAAUUUCAAAGUUCAAACCCAUAAAAAAUGAUAAGUAAAGUGAGACUGAGAAUUCAUUUGGCUUGGCAAUGGUGAUGGUAAAAUGAAUUUUUUCCUCGGUUUAUUGACUGUUCUUAAUGAGUCGUGAUCUAAUAAUCAAUUCUUUUGUCCUUUCUCAUAUAUUUCCACGGAUAAAACUGUGGUGCAACUGUGGUACCGUGCCACAGUUGCACCUAACCGUUAGAUUCUCACUUAUUCAAGUGGACCCCACUCAUUUGAAUGGAUCCAACGGCUGGUGGAACUGUGGCACGGUACCACCCGUUGCACUGUAGACUGACCCUAUUUCCACAUAUGAAUAAUCAUGGUUUGACUAAAGAUUUUUUUUUUUUUUCCUCUAUGGACCAUUCACAGACAGUCAUGGUUUAACGAAAAAAAUUUCUCUCUCGUUUUUCCUUUAUUGACUAUCCUUAAUCUGUCAUAAUCUAGCUAAUAAUUUUGUUAUCUGUCCACUAUUAUUGAUCAAUCGUGAAUUCCUCCAUUUUAUUGGUUCCUUAAAAUCUUGAAUUUUUUAUUAUUACGACUUAUCUCGUUAUAACAAAUGAAAGAACGAGGAAGAGGAAAUGGAGAUAUGAAUCAAGUAAAAUUAUAAAAAGAUUCUAUUUUAUCUAAUUAAACUAUGUUGGGUUAUUUUUAGUGACCUCCCCUGAGAUUUGGUUUAUUAACAGUCUAAUAGAAAGUAUUCAUGUAAUUACAAAGACCUCCCUUAACAUUAGUAUAAAAAUACGUAAGCGUCAGUAUAAAAGGGUAAACAAGUAAAAGUAAACUUGAAAUUUAAACAAAAUCAAAAUUCAAGCAAAAUAUGCUUCAAUGUCCGUGAAAUGGAGACUUAAACACACCAUUACCCAGUCUAAAGUCAUUAUCCAGUAGAUGAAAGGAAAUGAUUUUUUCACAAAGUGUACUUCUCGUAAACACAGCUUACACUUGAACAAAACCCACCAUCAUUUUCAUCCAUGGAGAAGAAGCGUCUGCAACUCACAAAUAAUUUCUGAAAUCAUUGAUUUAUUUUCAUCUACUGCACAAGAUGACGUCGUGCGGUGGUCCAUAGCUUUCAAGAAGCGAGUAUUGCCAGCAUCUAGCGUCUAUCGUGAUUGGAAUUAGAUCGCAAGAAGAGGCCAGUCUUCGAAAACACAGCUUGCAUGCUUGAAUCAGUGGCUCACAAGAUAUUGUUGUUAUUUUAUUGAUUAAAAAUAACAAUGGGUCUGUUUUAAUUAAUGAAAGUCUGUUUUAAUUAAUGAAAAUGGUGCUGGAUGUUGUUUCUCUCUGGGGUUGUUAGUGUUGAGUUGAAAAAAACUAUUGGGUAAUGACUGAUAAGAGCAAUUUCCUAAUGAUUUAAGAGUUGUGUAAGUACUAGAUGUAGUUCAUCAAAGAUAGGUUCAGUUUGCUUAUAAUGUGAUAAUAUUUUAGAGAGCCCACAGUGGUUUAUGUGAUUGUUCAGUUUGGGGUCAUGACACUAAUUGAGUUGUGUGUUAGUUUCGGUUUGUGCAUGCCUUUGGUGUUCUUUUGCCUUAUUGUUGUAAUACCUUCAAUAAUUUGGUGGUGGUAUUUUUUAUUUUUAUUUUUUUGAGUAGGUAAUUUUGUAUUUGCUAAAUAAUGUGAUUGUAAUCACAUGUAACUUAAGUAUAUUGUUCUACACACAAUUUUUGCUCCCAUGUGAGAUGUUCUCUGUGUUUUUGUCUAAGGCUUUUGUUUGUUAUUCAAACUAGAAAAUAGUGGAUGCAAGACUAUGAAUUUGGCAUGUGAUAAACUUUGAAAUUGCCCUUUUUCUAGAUUAAAAAAUAUUGACUUGCCAUUUUCCUUGUUUGAUUCUAAUUUUCAAACAAGUGUGCCGAAAUCUUAAGUUCGAUUACAUGUUGUUUAUUGUAUUUCUUAUUUCAAAGUCUGUAAUCUAUCUGCGUGCAUCAUUUCAGAAGAAGAAUAAGCAGCUGCAGCAAGUCCAUUAGUUUAGGUGUUCCGAGUACGACAGAGAUGAUGCUCUAAAUCCAGGUUUGAGGCACCAACAAAACUCAAAGAUAUCAAUUAUAGAGUGGGAUUUUCAGGACCUGAAAUCCAAUUUAAUAAUUACUUGAUCUGGGUUUAAAUAUGGAUGGAGCAAAGAUUGGUAUCAGAAGGGUUUUAUGGUCGGUGCCAACGCAUGUACUAUCAAGUUUACAAUAUGAAAAUCAUUUCUUUUAAUAGCUCUGCUCUUGUGGCAUGUAAUAGUUAUGAAGUAGUUUGUAAUAAAAAAAAUCACAAUAAUAAUAAGCAUGCAGGAUGCAGCUAUGCCACCACACAUUAUUUCAAUUAUUUUUAUUAUUAUGCAAUGUCAAUUUUUUUAUUAAGCAAUUUCAUCUUCUUAAGUAAUUUGUUAUUUUGGCGAAUUACCCAUUAGUUCAUAAAUGAAUAAAGAAAUAUUUUGACAGGAAGGGUAUUUUUGGAUUUUCAAUAGUCAACUAACAGUCCACUUUACAGAAUACAAAUGUCAGGGGAGGUCUUUGUAAUUACGUGAAUACUUUCUAUCAGACUGUUAAUAUACCAAACCUCAGGGGAGGUCCCUAAAAAUAACCCAAACUAUACUAGUAUAAAAAUAAAGCUUACUCUAUUUAUAUUAUUAAAUAAAAUCAUUUGUCAAACAAUAUUUGGCAUCAAAGAGUAACUUGGUCGAAAUAAAAUAUUUGGUUGACGUUCGUUUCUUCCACAUAAAAAAUAUUAUGUGCACCCAACUAACAUUUUUUCAUAAAGAUUCCUUUGAUGAUCAUCAUAUAUCAUCAUCUCAUUUGAAAUAAAUAUUUUUACAUAAAAUUUAGAAUAUUGAGUUACUUUAAAACAAUCUCUCGUUAUUAUUAUUAUUAUUAUUAUUAUUUUAAAUCUAUAUACAACAUUGCCAUAGUAAUGCAUUUUAAGAAAGUUUUAUGGAGUACACAAUCCCAAAUUUUAUCAAUUAAAUACCCUUUGAGACAAUUGUUGGCAGGUUCAAAAAUAAUUUUUAUUAGGAAGUUUAAAAUUAAUUUUGAUGUUUGAUAAUUUUUUUUAAAAGAGUAAAUUUUGAAUUACUCCUUUUGUAAAAUGACAAUUUUUAAAAUAUGGUUUAAAUUGUUGUAAACUUGAAUUUAUUCCUUUUUUAUUCAAAAGAUUAGGCAAAAAUGAGGGUGGGUCGAUAUUGGCAAAACCAAUUCCUACAACACAUUCUGAUUAUGUUAAGAAAGUUUCAUUUAACAUUUUGCCUAUUUUAUAUUUUACCGACAACAGUAAAUGCCUGAGUCCAUAUUAACCAUAUAAACAUGUUCAAUAAUCACGAUUAUCAAAGAAUUUAAAGAUUAAUAUAGAAUUUAUAAAACGAGAAUCAGGCCUCAAACCGGACAAAACAGGAAUAUUCGGUCCGGUUUGAAUCCGGUCCGGAUGCUGUAACAUAAAUCUCGGUUGCUAAUUUUAUGUUUACAUGUCAACUUAUGACCUGGCAGUCCGCCACAAUCCUAUUGGUCUGCUGACAUGUCAAUUUUACUCGAACAAAUAUCCAAAAAAAUUAAAAAUAAAAAUAAAAGGAAAGUGAGAAAAAAGGAAAAAUAAUAAAUCUCGCUCAUGAAGUCUAAUUUGCUUCUCACUUAAAAGUCCUGCAAAUAAUAAUAAUAAUAAUAAUAAUAAUAAUAAUAAGAAUCUUGACAGAAGAUUGUGAGAGAGAGAGAGAGAGAGCUGUUAAAGAUCGAACAAGUUUCGAGCAUUUUUGCGUUUUUACAGAACUCCAUUGCAUUGGUAAUCUUCUACUUUUUCUCUGUUCAUUAUUCUGUGUUAAUUUGUGAAUCUGCUUAUAGAUCGAACAAUUUUGUGAUAUUUUUAUAACUCAAUUGUGUGUAAAUGCAUUUGGAUUAGGGUUUCGACGUUUAGAUCUUGCGUUUCGUUAUGUUCUGUUUCGUUGCCGUUAAAAUGUUGCAAAUGAAGGCUCGUUACAGUUGUUAAUUUCUCGAUGUCUCUUGUCUUAUUCAUUUGGUGCAAUUAAAAUGAUUUGAUUUAUUGGCAUUUGGUUUUCGUUUGAAUUUUUUUUUUUUUCAGGAUAAGUGAUGGUGAUAAUAUUUGCAAAUCCUUGAAUUCUUUUUAGAGUUUUAUUUGAAGUUGAAGGGGGGGAGUUGGCCCUGAAACGGCAGGGAUAGUGAAUUUAUCAAACACAAUGAUGAUGGAUGAUGAUAUGGAGAAUGGUGGUUUGGGGCCUUACCAAGAUCGGCCGAGGACGUUCCCCAACAUGCGUAGUAAAUCUAUUUUCAUAAAUUUAGUGAUGGGUUCCCCUUCAUUUUAUUUAUGGUGCUCAUAAUUAUAUGUCAUUUUGCCUUUUCAAUCCUUUGUUGGUUGCCCUUUUAGUAUAUUACAUGCAAUUUCAAUGGCUAUGGUUUUCUUAAAUUAUUUAUGUUGUUGUUGUUGUGUAGCUUCAGAUGGUCUAAUUGAAAUUACGAAUGUGGAUUAGUGUCAAAAUGGGAAGUGUUUGUAAAGUAGUAUAAUAGCAAUAAUAUAGCAAAAGCAAUGGGGACUGUGAUUAGUAAAGCUGCUAGUGGUAUAGGCAGUGUUCUUGGCACUGCUUUCGUGGCUCCAUUUAAGAGCAUCUUCAAUGGAUCUUGUGAGUAAGUAAUUCUAAUUCGUCAUCUCUCAUAACGCUUCUCUUUAUUCGUAUAAAUCUUUACAACAUUAAUUAUGUAUGUAAUUGCUUUAGUUGCUUAAUUAUACCAUAAUAAUGAAAGGGAGUAUCUUGCAAGUUACAAUCUAUUUGAUUAUUGCCAAUGUAAUGAUCUAUAUGUGUUCAUUUGAAAGAGGUCGUAUCAAUUGCUUUAUGCAUACAUGCGCGCGCAUUUAUUGAAUGGUGGUUUGAUUCCAUUUGCUUGGCUAUGCAGGGAUGUUUGUCCAGGACCAUGGGACAUAAUUUGUUUCAUCGAGCACUUAUGUGUCACCAAUCUGGUGAAACUGCUAAUGAUUUUGGGGCUGUGCUACAUAAGUAAUCUCAGCUCUCAUACUUAACAAUUCACCUUCCCAUUUAAGUUUAAUUUCUUUUCGAAUUCUUCUAUUUUCAUUUUGACAGUUGAUUGAAUGAACAAAUUGAUGAAAUAAACAAAAAUAAGACAAAUUAAUAAUUCAGAAAAUAUUUGGGUUUCAUAAAGAAUGUAACAGAACUCUCUCCCGAAUUUGUAUAUUUUGGAAUGGCAAUCGUUGAGCACAAAUCAUGAUAAUGCUGUUUGUUUCAAUCUUUGCUUAUAAAUGAUCUUAAGCUAAAUAUGGUAAAUUUUUGUUUCUUUUUGUUAUAUUUACUAGUUAUAUUUAAGUACAGCCAGAAUAGAAUUAACUGCUAGGUUUUUGUCAUUUAUUAUAUCAUUUUUCAUAUUUUCAGUUUUGUUGUUCUGCUACCUAUUGUUCAAAGUGGGAAUCUGCCAAUGCAUUGUAAGAAGCCUUUGUAAGAUGUGCUGGGCUGCUUGUGAAACAUACUGGUAUAUGGUUUAAUUGGAGUGCAUGAGUGCCAAAAUUUAACACUUAUCGGCGCGUUGAAGUUAUUCUAAAAUUUGUAAAGCCCGUUUAAAUAUAAGUUCUUGAAGAGCCGGCCUAUGUGAAAAUUAAAUUAAGUCUUUACAACGCACAUUAUCAUUCAUACGCAAAUAAUAGAUAUUUACCGAACCACAAAGGGGGGUAUAUGUCAACUAUCUAAAAGAAUUAAAUCAGUACGUAUUUUUCCAAACAUCAGGGUGAUAUAUGUCAUUACCUCUAAGGACUGUUUUCAGUUACUCACAAGCACUUCUUGACAAAAGCAUUGCCUCCAAGGAAGCAUAGAUUUUGCUUCGUCUAGGCUAAUAUUUCAUGCAACGCUAGAAAUUUGAAUUACUUAGUUGCUUUAUGCGAAAUGCAUUUUGGCUCCUCUUCAAAAAUUAAUUACACCAGCACAUGGAAAAUGCAUAAUUAAGGCUAGUUGAAAUAAUUUUCUCCUAUUUAUUUAUUUUGAAGGCCAAAAUAUUUUCAAGACUAGAGGAAACCAUUACACAAUAUACGAAACAAUUGAAUGGAAAACCAUUACACAUUAUUACUUUGUAUAACGGAUAUAGCUGAUAUUGAUCUUGGAUUACAGAUCCAUAUGGACAUAUGUAGCUUAUAUUGAUCCCAGAUUAGAGAUCAAUACGGAUAUAGCGUACAUUGGUCUUGGAUUAGAGAUCAGUAAUAAAGAAAAAAUCUGAAAAUAAUCAACGAUCAAACUCAGACACACGUAAUUACUAACUAAAUCUCAUACUACAAAUUUAGAUACGGACAAAAACAUUUAUUAGAUCUAAGGCAUAAAAUCAAACAAAUAAAAAAAGAUGGCUGAGAUUGAGAUUUAGAAUAAAAUUUCUUGUCAAUUUUGUGUUUCUUAGGAUAUAAAUAGAGGCCAAAAGUAUCGAGAAAAUAUCUUUUGGCUAUUUUUCUGAAAGUCGAGAGAAAUCCAUAAUCCAAAUCAAGAAAUUCUCUAAACACAAGCGUUAACAAAAACAUCAGAGCAUCUUUUGCAAGCACAUGCUCGAAUCCAAUUUGUGGAGACUCUCAUGGACAACAAAUCAACAUCGAAGCUUGUAGAGUAAACAAGUAUAAGUUACUAUUUACUAUUUCUUUAGUCGUUUUUGUCUAGCUAAUUGAAGGGGUUUUGAACCUUUGCAAGUCAUAAAUGAACUUUUAUAUUCAAACUAGGGUAGUUAAUUAAAUAAACAUAUUUAAAAACCACUCUGCAAUAACUUAAAUGGUAAAAGAUUAUCUAUACAAAACAAAAGAAAUAUGAAAUAUAAAAAUUCCAGCUAUUUGAAGACCAAGUUCUUUUCAUGUGAAAGAGGCAAUAUAUGGAGAAGCAUUUUGACCAAUUUAGAUAGAAAUGUGAAAUUAGUGCAUCCUUGCUUCACGAUUCUACCUUGCUAAUGUAGUGCUUUCGAGAUACCGCAUCAAUAACACAGAAACAAUAACUCUUAUUAAUUUUAGAAAUUUUUUUGAUAAUUUUAAUUAAACUUUUAUUUAUUUAUCUUGUUUUAAGUUAUAGUGCUUUAUCCUGAAGCAAUAACCAAUUAAUUGAAUUGCUUUCUGUCAAUGAAUACUAAAAGUUUCAAAAAAAAUUAAAAAAAAAAAGAAAGAAAGAAAGAAAGAGAUGCAAAUUGCUGUUGAUAAUUGAGUUUAAUUUGGGAAACAUAAAAUAAUUUAGCAUAACUUAUGUUGAAUGAAUGAAUUUAUUAAGUUGAUCAAAAAGAGAAAACAAAAAGAUUAUCCUAUGGAAGAAGAUAAAGCCAGUUUUGUAAUAUCUGGAAUGGUGGUGCACGAGGGUACAUUCUCUUACUAUUUAAUCACUUUACUAUUAUUAAUCAAUCUGAUUGAGAAAUGUUUAAUGUGCUAGGAAUUAAUGAAUGACUUAUGAGUUAUGACUAUCUCUUUUAAGUUUUUUCUUUUUUUUUUUAUUGAGUAUUUCGAUUUUCUGCUCACUCAUUUGAGAGGAGUUCAAAUUUAAAAUUUUAUAUUUCCACUGAAGAGAUUUUAUCAAUUCAACUAAUUAGUACUCAAUCUCUCUUUUAUUUUUAGCUUGCAACCACUAAUUGGCUUAUUUAGCAAGUUCUCUCAUAAUUGUUCAAAAUGUUCCAAUUGUUUCAAAUUUUGGACGGGUUUUAAAUAAAUGGACAGCAACAAUCGUGUUGACUGUGAUUUGACAAAAUGGUGAUAACUUAUUUUUUAAAAAAAAUUGCGAGGAAAAACCAUUUGAGACAAAAAUAAAAAACCUCAUAAUUUAUUUAUUUCUUUUUUUUUUCUAAUAGAAAUGUUCCCGCAAAUCCUGAAUUUUGACCCAAAAAAAUAUUAUAUAUCCCAAAAGAGUUUGUGCAAUCGUUUUACCAAAUUACACUCCCGGUCGUUUUUCCCUCAGUUCCGUAAAAGAUUGGAUUAUAUAAACAUAUAUGUAAACGAUUAUUAUUAUGAGACUACACAAUUAAAUAUAAAAAAUUUUAAUUAACAAUUUCUUAAUUUUCUCCAUGAUGAGGCCAAUGGUUUGAGUAUUCCAGUGGGUGUGGGAGCUUGGUAACUUUUAAUUAUUUUCUUUGAUUUUAGUUGAAAUUCAACUUUCAUACAUUCAAAUAGAUCUCAACGGACACUAAAUUAAGCUUCAAAAUUCCAAAAGACCUUUAGACCAAUAUUAUUUUUCUUACUCACUUAAUAAACGACAAAUAAGAUGGCAUAAAAAAGGUUAUUUAAUUAAGAGUUUUGUUAAUUUAUAAUUAAUGUAACUUACAAUCCUUGUAAUAAGACAGUAGAUUCCACUAUCAUAUCACAAAUUUUUAUAUAUUUUAUCAUAACUGUAAGUUGCAUAACUUAAUAAAAUCCCACAAUUAAAUAUCACAAUUUCUACCGUACAAUAUUAUGCCAUGGUUUUGUGCGGGGACUUUGAUCUUCUUUUUUUUUUUUUUUUUCACAAGACAAAAUUAGCAAAAACAAAGCCGACACACAAAACCAUGGCAUAAUAUUAGUGGCAGUAAGUGGUCUCAAAAUCAGGCGUUCUAGCCAGUUUCGUUUGGUGGGCAUAUAUGGCUACAAGACAAAGGCUUUUUGCCUGUCAGUUUCUUCAUCAUCAUCAUCGUCAUUAUUAUUAUUAUUAUUAUUUUCUCUAAAAUCCCAAUUGAAAUCUAACACAAAUAAGUAACCAAUUAAUUAAUUAAUGCUCUCUAAAACCCCCAAUUGAAAUCUCUCUAUAUAUAUGUACAUGAAUAUGCUUCCAAUUCUGCUCUGACACUCUCUCUCACUCACUAAUUUUGCUUCCACUAUUUAUCAAAAACAAUGAAUCAUUUCAUCCUCAUUGCUUCACUUCUUCUCCUUUUCUUGUUAAAUAAUUUUGUUGUUGAAGCUCGACAAAUUGCAAAAAGCACAACUACUGGAACCAGAUGGGUAGUUCUAGUUGCUGGAUCCAAUUAUUAUGAAAAUUAUCGGCACCAGGUUAAAUUUUAUUAAUUGAUUAGUUUUAAUUUUUAUUUAAUCUACAUACAAAUUAAUUUUGUCGAUUUUUCACCAUCAAAUUUGUUGGUUAUUUUUGCAGGCCGAUGUGUGUCACGCGUAUCAAAUUCUGAAAAAUGGAGGAUUAAAAGAUGAAAACAUAAUUGUUUUCAUGUAUGAUGAUAUUGCAUUUAACGUUCAAAAUCCAAGGCCUGGUAUCAUCAUCAACAAGCCGUACGGCCCUGAUGUUUAUAAUGGAGUCCCCAAGGUAUUUAUUUUAUUAUUAUUAUUUUUUUUGCUUGAUAAAUAAAUCAAACUUUUUUAAUUUGAUUAUAUGAUUCCUAUGGCUAUUUUACAGGAUUACACUGGUGAAAAUUGUACUGCCAAAAAUUUUCUGGCAGUGAUUCUCGGCAACAGAACUGCACUCACCGGGGGCAGUGGCAAGGUUGUAAAUAGUGGUCCGAAUGACUAUAUUUUUAUUUAUUAUGCAGACCAUGGAAGCGCUGGUAUGGUCGGUAAGUAUCAACAUUAUUAAUUAGUAAAAAUUAAUUGUUUUUUAACCUUUAAUUUCUUCUUAUAAUUUUUUUUUUUUACAUCAAUGUUAUAUUUUAUGAUGUUGCUGUAGCAAUGCCUACUGGAGAUGACCUCUACGCUAAAGAUUUGAUAGAGGUGUUAAAAAAGAAACACGAGGCUAAAUCUUAUAAAAGCAUGGUAAGUAAAUGAAAUCAAUUAACCAUUAUGCAAAUUUAAUUACUAGUUGAUACCUAAUCAAUUAAUUAACAAAUUUUUUUUUUGGUUGGUAAUUUUGGGGGGAAAUUAAUUAGGUAUUUUACCUUGAAGCUUGUGAAUCCGGAAGCAUGUUUGAUGGGCUUCUCACGGAAGACAUGAACAUAUAUGCAGUCACGGCUUCAACUCCUGCAGAGAGCAGCUACGCGAUGUAUUGUCCCGGGCAUUAUCCGAGUCCCGAGGAUGAUUUUGAAACUUGUUUGGGUGAUCUCUUCAGUAUUUCUUGGAUUGAAGAUAGGUCAAUUAAUUGAUUAUUUGAUUUUUCAUCGAUAAAUUGGAUGUUAAUUAAAAUUUAUAAUUUUUUUUUAAACUUUUCUGUGUAAUGGCGUGCAGUGAAAAACAUGAUUUACAGAAGGAAACACUACAGCAACAACACGGAGUGGUAAAAUCUAUUUUUUUGAUUAAUUAAAGUUACCACGUCUCUCUCUCUCUCUUUUUUUAAAAAAAAAAUAAAGUAAAAUUCUCUGGUUAAUUCCGUCGAGUUUUACAGGUUCGGAGGAGGACAUUGGUAGAUUAUUUAGACUUUAGCUCUCAUGUAAUGCAGUACGGAAACAAAGAGCUGAGCAAAGAGCCAAUUUUUACGUAUAUUGGCACGAAUCCUGAUAACGACAACUUCACGAUGAAGGCUGAAGAAUUUUCUUCUAACCCAUCAGCUGAAAUUGCUCAUUCGAGUCGUUUGACGAGGGGAGCUGUUAGUCAACGCGAUGCUCAACUUCAUUAUCUUUGGCACAGGGUAAUUCAAUUAAUCUUAUCCAAUUAUUGUUUAAUUAGAUCUUGUAAUUUGAGUUAUAAUAAUGUUUAUUCUUGCAGUUCAAUAGAUCGGCUGAUGGGUCUAGUGAGAAGAUCGAUGCUCAGAAGCAAUUACAGAAUGAGAUUUUAAGCAGGCAGCAAGUGGAUCAAAAUAUACAUCAAAUCAUAGCACAAGUUUUUGGGGAAGAAAAUGUGUCGAAAAUGAUUGAGUCCAUUCGACCAGCAGGCCAGCCUCUUGUAGACGACUGGGAUUGCUUGAAAAUGCUUGUAAGUUUUUAUAUUAUUAUUAUUUUUCUAAAUUAAUUCCAUUAUUAUCUCAGUAGGCACACAUAUAAUCAUUUUUAAGUGCGGCUGUCUUUAUUUUUUUAAUGCAGAUGUGCGGUUUAAUAGUGUGUUUGCACUCACUCUAUUAAAUCGCACGGUUUAACAAUGUGUCUAUUUAAGAAAAGAAAACGACAUUCGUAAUAGAGAAAGACUAUUUGAUAGAUUAUUUUGAUUACUUAAUUAAUUAUAUACAGGUGAGAAUUUAUGGGGAAAUUUGUGGAUCAUUAUCAAUAUAUGGAAAGAAGUAUACAAGAGCAAUGGCCAACAUGUGCAAUGCUGGAAUCAAUGAGAAGCAGAUGACUUUGGCAUCCAAUCAAGCUUGUUUGAAAUAAAAUAAGUAAAAUGAUUAUUUGAAUAAGUUCUUGAAAUAAAAUACGUCUUUGAAUAUUUGAAGAAUAUACCUAAAGCUUUUAAUUUCUCUGUUUAAAAAUAUAUUUUCUUUCUUUUAAUUUCUUUCUUUGAGGAAAAAAAUGUGAUUUGAUUUUCUUUUUAUACGGUUCAAUUGAUAUUGUAGCUAGUUGUUAUCAGGCCUAAAAACUUCAGUAGUUGGAUGAAAAUAACCCAAAAAGAAAAAUAAAUGAUAACAAAAUAAGAAUAAAGAAUAAAUCCUUUAAUUUGAAUUUUUUUUCCCCGAUAAGAUCAUUCUUUUAACCAGAUCCAAAGAAAUGCUUUAUACUUUUUUUGCAUGACACUUGAGAAAAGAAAAAAACACAUUAGAAGAAAAAUAAGGAAUUAUGAUAUUUCAAGACAACAGCUAUAAGAUAAGAAAACCAAAGCAAAUAUGGAAACAAAUACAAUAAAAAAAAAGGCAUUAAACAUUCUUUAUCCAUCCUUCAAUUAUUGCCUCAAUAUUAACAGAUCAUUUAAAAUCCCAAAGAUCAUAUUAAUUGUGCUAUUGAGGCUUUGGGACAUUGUAAUCAAAGACUGAGAAAGUUAUCUUUUUUUGUUCCUAUAAAAAGUUUUAUUUUCUUAGUCACUAUGAUGCGUAAUUAAAAAAAUUAUCAAAAUCACCACCUAAAGCAACUUAUAAAUACAAAAAUAGUGCUAAACAUCUCAAAUUUUUUAUUUUAAAAAAUUAUGUCAGAUCAUGUGACAUUCACUAACUAGUUGGAGAGAUAAUAUGAUUAAUUUAUCUAGAUUUAGUACAAAAUUAUCAAUUAUUUAAUUAAUGAAAUUUAAAAUAAAAAAUUUGAGAUGUCUAAUCAUUACUCUAAAUAUAAUAGACACCAAAAUAAUAAAAAAUUAAAGUUUAAGAGUUCAAAAUAUUUUAUUUAUAGUCUCAUGAAUAGAACAACAUAAUUGCAAACGGCACAUUUUCUCACUUACGUUUCUUUAUAUCCUGAUAAAUAUCUCUUCUACUAAACUUGACAAACACUAAUAUAACAAACCCCAAUUAUUUUCUCCUGUAUUCUUUUGCGCUCUCAUAGGUGUCAUUUUAUUUUUUUGAGUCUUUUGUUGCUAAAUUUUUAGAUUCGUGAUCAAUUCAUUUUCAUGAUUUUUUUUUUCAGUCUAUGAUCUUCAUCUAUACAAAUUUAAAAUACUCCCUUUUGUUUUCUGCAUUUUUUCAGAUUAAUUAUUUUUAAUUUUGGGAAACUAAUGUUUUUAAGUUUUGUAAAGAAAGAAAGUUUGGAGAGAAGAAUAAAGAUAACAAUACUUCAAAAGAAAUUAUCACUUAUAGAAUUGUUUGUGUGAAAGGUAUGGUAAGAAGACUAUAAAAAAAAAUUUAAGAGUGAGAAAAUUGAUAGAAAUCAAAGAAAAUUUGGAAAUCAAAGCACACACAAAUUAAGGAUGAUAAUUUCGAAAGAAAUGAUCUUUUUGGUAUUAAAUGGAUCAUAAUUGAGAGGGGGUUUUAAAAGAAUAAUGGAAAGGUGUUAAAAGCGUCUCUCUUUUGAAUUUUUGUGCCUUUCCAUUGUUUGGUUGACUAUGAAAUGGGGGAAUUUAUUAAUUUCCUUUGAAAUAAAGGAAAUUAAUAAAUUCCAUCCAAUCAAGGGAUCUGAAUUAUUCACCGAAGAAUGAAACAGGGGUGGAGCUAUUUGUGGGCUGGGGCUGUAGCCUGUCUAAAAUUUUGAUAAGAGUUCUACUAUUUACUCCGGGUCAAACCCCGAAAGUAAUUGAAACGACGUCGUUUCUUUUUUUUUUUUGUUUUUGUUCUCCAUAAAACGACGCCGUUUGGUUUAAUUAGCAUCAGCCCCAAUUGUUCUCUCUUCAUCUUCAUUUCAGAACCGAUCCCAAGCACUGCAAAACCCUUUCAUCUUGAGAUUCUUCACCACUUUGACUCUACUUGAAUAAUUCCAAAAGGGAAAAAAAGAAAAAAAAAAAAAGGGUCAUGUCACAUUAGAGAGCAACUUUGUGCUAUACAUUCUUCAAGUCGCGCUGAGGAAACUGAAGUUCAAAGUUAUCAGGACAAAAUUUGAUCCAUAUACAUUUAUUCACAUACAUGAAUUAUUACCAGCAACGUGUCAUUGGAUUUUCACAUGCACACAUGCAUCUUCUUCUUUGCAAAAUGAAAAGCACUUCAUUUCUCUCAGCAAAAGCACUUCUUAGUUCGUUCUCAUAUGGUUAGAUUACAAGUUUAAUUACUGCAAUUUCAGGCUAUUGUGAGACGAAGAGAAAAUGAAGAGAAAGAGAGCAAUUUGGAGUUGUUAUUGAUUUUGUUUUAACCAAGCUGAAACGAAGGGGAAGAGAUACAGAGAAAUAGAAGGAGGGGCUGUGAGACAGAGAGAGAAAGCAAUUUGUUGAGACGAAGAGAACGAAGUGAAGGAGUGGGGCUGUUGUUGAUUUUUUUUUCCUUAAAAUGACGUCGUUUUAGGGAGAAUGAAAUGAAAAAAAAAAGGAUUAAAAUGACGUCGUUUAUUAUUUUCGGGGUUUCAAAAUUUACAAAAUUGUCAUUGCUUUACACUUUUAUUUACAACUUCACCAUUCUAUUAAUUUACCACUUUGUCAUUCUUAUAAAUAAAUAAAAUGAGCAUUUACUUUAUUCUUGGAGAACGCGCUCUCUUUGUUUUUUGGCUCCUUCGUGCUGACAUGCUCUGCUUCUUCAGUUAUUCGUCUUCUCUUGGUAGGAAUAUAUAACAUAUUAAUUUUUUAUUUGAUCAUUUACAAUAUAUUUAUAAAUUGUAAGAUAGUAAAGACUAAAAAUCAUAUUCUUUAGUUAGUUUAUGUUCUAAUUUUAUUAUGUAAGAUUAAAUUAUUGUUAGGUCAAACCAUUGAAUUCUAGCAAUUAAAUUUUUAAAUUUAUUAUUGAUAAAUCAUAGAUUAGAGAUAAUUAUUUUAGUGAAAAAUAAGAAGAAAUGCAAGAGCUCAUCAAGACACCACUUUAAAAUAAGAUAGAGAAAUUUAUAUCAGACUGUACGAUUAUCUAUGUUGAAAGAAAAUUUCUAGACAUUGUCGAUUCAAAUUCGAUAAUAGAUGAAUUUAAUUCUUGAAAGUUUAGAAAGACACAACUGAAAUAUUAUUUAAUUGUAAUUGAAUUGCUUCUUAAAAUUGAUGUAUUUUCUUAUGUAUUAAUGAAAUUUUCAUUAAAAAUUAUAUUUUUAAUUGUGAUAAUAUUUGGACUUGGAAAAAAUUUAACACACCCAAAAAAUUUUUCUUUACUUCGCCCGUGAAAUGAGGAAUCCAAAUUCCAAAUUCACUAGAAAUCUAAACUUCCAAAUUUACCCCUUUUAUAUUUGACUAUUAAUUAGUUCAUUGUUAUUAAAGCAAUUAUUAUUUAUAAUUUUUUUGUCACGUAAUUUAACGGCAAAGUUUGAUUCAACAAGAAAUUUUUUUAAAAAGAUUUAUUUGAUUUAACCAAAAAAAACCUGUUAAUUACACUUAAAUGUAAUUUUUUAAUUUAAAAAAUAAAAAAUAAUUGAGUAGGGGAAAAAGUAUAUUUUAUAACUAAUUGUAGGAAUAAAAUGUCAUUUUGUAACUAUUAUAGGGGCAAAAAUAUUAUUUUAUAAUUAAUUAUAAGGGCAAAAAUUUCAUUUUGUAAUUAAUUUACUAUUCCCAUUGAAGUUAACAACAAAGUUAAUGAAUGAUCACCCGCUUGAUUAUUUUUUAAAAAACGUAUCAUUUUUUAAAAAUUUGUCAAAACAUGUGUCACCCAAAGGUAAUUAACUCUUAUUUUUUAAAUUCUUAGGUGUUUACCAUUUGAUUUAAUCACGUAACAUAUACCUAUGGCGAAAAAACAUAUCUCAUCCUUCUAUCAACAAACAGUAACGUCUAAAUCUUCCAGCUUGUUUUUGGGGUCUGAGGCAUUUUCGUCUUUCAUUAGUCAAAUGGACGGUAAAGCUGAUGACAGGAGUGGUAUGUAAUAAUACAGCAAACUCACCAUCUAAAUAUAAAUACAUGAAACUUCAGGGGAAGCUAUCUAAACUUUACCCUACUAGAAAAUGGGCCCGAUCCCCGUUAGCAGCCCCCAUUGAAAGAGUGCGGCAAAGCAACCUGGGUAAAAGUACAUUUUAAAAAUAAACAUGAAAAAGAAUAGGAUAUUCAUAUCUUACAUGCACGUAAGAUAUAUUUCUUUACAUAAAUAGUAGUGUAUGUGGACGAAAGAUUUAGAAAGAAAGAACCAUUGACACCGAAUUUAUUAUAAAUAAAAUUAAUUAUUUGUUUAUGACCUGAUUGAAGGUUGAUAUAAAUCUUGUAUUUUAUGACUUUAUAGCGAUUUUUUUGAAUUUCAAAGUUCAAACCCAUAAAAAAUGAUAAGUAAAGUGAGACUGAGAAUUCAUUUGGCUUGGCAAUGGUGAUGGUAAAAUGAAUUUUUUCCUCGGUUUAUUGACUGUUCUUAAUGAGUCGUGAUCUAAUAAUCAAUUCUUUUGUCCUUUCUCUUAUAUUUCCACAUAUGAAUAAUCAUGGUUUGACUAAAGAUUUUUUUUUUUUUCCUCUAUGGACCAUUCGCAGACAGUCAUGGCUUAACGAAAAAACUUUCUCUCUCGUUUUUCCUUUAUUGACUAUCUUUAAUCUGUCAUAAUCUAGCUAAUAAUUUUGUUAUCUGUCCACUAUUAUUGAUCAAUCGUGAAUUCCUCCAUUUUAUUGGUUCCUUAAAAUCUUGAAGUAUUUAUUAUUACGACUUAUCUCGUUAUAACAAAUGAAAGAACGAGGAAGAGAAAAUGGAGAUAUGAAUCAAGUAAAAUUAUAAAAGAUUCUAUUUUAUCUAAUUAAACUAUGCUAAUAUAAAAAUAAAGCUUACUCUAUUUAUAUUAUUAAAUAAAAUCAUUUGUCAAACAAUAUUUGACAUCAAAGAGCAACUUGGUCGAAAUAAAAUAUUUGGUUGACGUUCGUUUCUUCCACAUAAAAAAUAUUAUGUGCACCCAACUAACAUUUUUUUCAUAAAGAUUCCUUUGAUGAUCAUCAUAUAUCAUCAUCUCAUUUGAAAGAAAUAUUGUUACAUAAAAUUUAGAAUAUGGUAAUGCUAUAAUGACUUUAAAAAAAGGGGGGUACAUGUCAACUAUCUAAAAGAAUUAAAUCAGUAUGUAUUUUUCCAAACAUCAGAGUGAUAUAUGUCAUUACCUCUAAGGACUAUUUUCAGUUACUCACAAGCACUUCUUGACAAAAGCAUUACCUCCAAGGAAGCAUAGAUUUUGCUUCGUCUAGGCUUAUAUUUCAUGCAACGCUUGAAACUUUAAUUACUUAAGUGCUUUAUGCGAAAUGCAUUUUGGCAUCUCUUCAAAAAUUAAUUACACCAGCGCAUGGAAAAUGCAUAAUUAAGGCUUGUUGAAAUAAUUCUCUCCUAUUUAUUUAUUUUGAAGACCAAAAGAUUUCUUUCAAGACUAGAGGAAAACAUUACACAAUAUACGAAACAAUUGAAUGGAGAAUUUUUCAUUCAAACUGUUAAGUGCCACACACCGCACCACGUUUGACCUGUGCAGCAAACAUUAUUAAUUUGUAUAACGGAGAUAGCUGAUAUUGAUCUCAGAUUAGAGAUCAAUACGGAUAUAGCGUAUAUUGGUCUUGGAUUAGAGAUCAGUAAUAAAAAAAAAAUCUGAAAAUAAUCAACGAUCAAACUCAGACACACGUGAUUACUAACUAAAUCUCAUACUACAAAUUCAGAUACGGACAAAAACAUUUAUUAGAUCUAAGGCAUAAAAUCAAACAAAUAAAAAAAGAUGGCUGAGAUUGAGAUUUAGAAUAAAAUUUCAUGUCAAUUUUGGUGUUUCUUAGGAUAUAAAUAGAGGCCAAAAGUAUCGAGAAAAGAUCUUUUGGCUAUUUUUCUGAUAGUCCAGAGAAAUCUAUAAUCCAAAUCAAGAAAUUCUCUAAACACAAGCAUUAACAAAAACAUCAGAGCAUCUUUUGCAAGCACAUGCUCGAAUCCAAUUUGUGGAGACUCUCAUGGACAACAAAUCAACAUCGAAGCUUGUGGAGUAAACAAGUAUAAGUUACUAGUUACUAUUUCUUUAGUCGUUUUUGUCUAGAUAAUUGAAGGGGCUUUGAACCUUUGCAAGUCAUAAAUGAACUUUUAUAUUCAAACUAGGGUAGUUAAUUAAAUAAACAUAUUUAAAAACCACUCUGCAAUAUAUCUUAAAUGGUAAAAGAUUAUCUAUACAAAACAAAAGAAAUAUGAAAUAUAAAAAUUCCAGCUAUUUUAAGACCAAGUUCUUUUCAUGUGAAAGAGGCAAUAUGGAGAAGCAUUUUGACCAAUUUAGAUAGAAAUGUGAAAUUAGUGCAUCCUUGCUUCACGAUUCUACCUUGCUAAUGUAGUGCUUUCGAUAUACCGCAUCAAUAACACAGAAACAAUAACUCUUAGUUAUUUUAGAAUUUUUUUUUAUAAUUGUAAUUAAACUUUUAUUUAUUUAUCUUGUUUUAAGUUAUAGUGCUUUAUCCUGAAGCAAUAACCAAUUAAUUGAAUUGCUUUCUGUCAAUGAAUACUAAAAGUUUCAAAAAAAAUUGAAACAAAAAAGAAAGAAAGAGAUGCAAAUUGCUGUUGAUAAUUGAGUUUAAUUUGGGAAACAUAAAAUAAUUUAGCAUAACUUAUUGUAAAUGAAUGAAUUUAUUAAGUUGAUCAAAAAGAGAAAAAGAUUAUCCUAUGGAAGAAGAUAAAACCAGUUAUGUAAUAUCUGGAAUGGUGGUGCACGAGGGUACAUUCUCUUACUAUUUAAUCACUUUACUAUUAUUAAUCAAUCUGAUUGAGAAAUGUUUUAUGACCUAAGAAUGAAUGAUUUAUGAGUUACGACUAUCUCUUUUAAGUUUUUUUUUAUUGAGUAUCCCGAUUUUCUGCUCACUUAUUUGAGUCGGAGUUCAACUUUAAAAUUUUUUAUUUCCACUAAAGAGAUUUUACCAAUUCAACUAAUUAGUACUCAAUCUCCCUUUUAUUUUUAGCUUGCAACCACUAAUUGGCUUAUUUAGCAAGUUCUCUCAUAAUUGUUCAAAAUAAAUGGACAGCAACACUCGUGUUGACCGUGAUUUGACAAAAUGGUGAUAACUUAUUUUAAAAAAAAAUUGCGAGGAAUAACCAUUUGAGACAAAAAAAUAUUAAAAAUUGCGAGGAAUAACCAUUUGAGGAAUAACCCCAUAAUUUAUUUCUUUCUUCUUUUUUUUUUCUAAUAGAAAUGUUCCCGCAAAUCCUGAAUUUUGACCCAAAAAAAUAUUAUAUAUCCCAAAAGAGUUUGUGCAAUCGUUUUACCAAAUUACACUCCCGGUCGUUUUUCCCUCAGUUCCGUAAAAGAUUGGAUUAUAUAAACAUAUAUGUAAAAGAUUAUUAUUAUGAGACUACACAAUUAAAUAUAAAAAAUUUUAAUUAACAAUUUCUUAAUUUUCUCCAUGAUGAGGCCAAUGGUUUGAGUAUUCCAGUGGGUGUGGGAGCUUGGUAACUUUUAAUUAUUUUCUUUGAUUUUUGUUGUAAUUCAACUUUCAUACUUUCAAAUAGAUCUCAACGGACACUAAAUUAAACUUCAAAAUUCCAAAAGACCUAUUAGACUAAUAUUAUUUUUAUUACUCACUUAAUAAACGACAAAUAAGAUGGCAUAAAAGAGGCUAUAUAAUUAAGAGUCUUGUUAAUUUACAAUCAAUGUAAUUUACUAUCCUUGUAAUAAGACAGUAGAUUCCACUAUCAUAUCACAAUUUCUACCGUACAAUAUUAUGCCAUAGUUUUGUGCGGGGGCUUUAAUCUUUUUUUUUUUCACAAGACAAAAUUAGCAAAAACAAAAGGUUUCCACAGCCGACACACAAAACCAUGGCAUAAUAUUAGUGGCAGUAAGUAAGUGGUCUCAAAAUCAGGCGUUCUAGCCAGUUUCGUUUGGUGGGCAUAUAUGGCUACAAGACAAAGGCUUUUUGCCUGUCAGUUUCUUCAUCAUCAUCAUCAUCGUCAUUAUUAUUAUUAUUAUUUUCUCUAAAAUCCCAAUUGAAAUCUAACACAAAUAAGUAACCAAUUAAUUAAUUAAUGAUCUCUAAAACCCCCAAUUGAAAUCACUCUAUAUAUAUAUGCAUAUGCUUCCAAUUCUGCUCUUACACUCUCACUCACUAAUUUUGCUUCCACUAUUUAUCAAAAACAAUGAAUCAUUUCAUUCUCAUUGCUUCACUUCUUCUCCUUUUCUUGUUAAAUAAUUUUGUUGUUGAAGCUCGACAAAUUGCAAAAAGCACAACUACUGGAACCAGAUGGGUAGUUCUAGUUGCUGGAUCCAAUUAUUAUGAAAAUUACAGGCACCAGGUUAAAUUUUAUUAAUUGAUUAGUUUUAAUUUUUAUUUAAUUUACAUACAAAUUAAUUUUGUCAAUUCCACCAUCAAAUUUGUUGGGUAUUUUUGCAGGCCGAUGUGUGUCACGCGUAUCAAAUUCUGAAAAAUGGAGGAUUAAAAGAUGAAAACAUAAUUGUUUUCAUGUAUGAUGAUAUCGCAUUUAAUGUUCAAAAUCCAAGGCCUGGUAUCAUCAUCAACAAGCCGUACGGCCCUGAUGUUUAUAAUGGAGUCCCCAAGGUAUUUAUUUUUAUUUUAAUUUUUUUUUUGCUUGAUAAAUCAAACUUUUUUAAUUUGAUUAUAUGAUUCCUAUGGCUAUUUUACAGGAUUACACUGGUGAAAAUUGUACUGCCAACAAUUUUCUGGCAGUGAUUCUCGGCAACAGAACUGCACUCACCGGGGGCAUUGGCUUUUUUAACAAUUUUUUUUUUUUUUUUUGGUUUGGUAAUUUUGGGGGGGAAAUUAAUUAGGUAUUUUACCUUGAAGCUUGUGAAUCCGGAAGCAUGUUUGAUGGGCUUCUCACGGAAGACAUGAACAUAUAUGCAGUCACGGCUUCAACUCCUGCAGAGAGCAGCUACGCGAUGUAUUGUCCAGGACAUUAUCCGAUUCCCGAGGAUGAUUUUGAAACUUGUUUGGGUGAUCUCUUCAGUAUUUCUUGGAUUGAAGAUAGGUCAAUUAAUUGAUUAUUUGAUUUUUCAUCGAUAAAUUUGAUGUUAAUUAAAAUUUAUAAUUUUUUUUUAAACUUUUCUGUGUAAUGGCGUGCAGUGAAAAACAUGAUUUACAGAAGGAAACACUACAGCAACAACAUGGAGUGGUAAAAUCUAUUUUUUGAUUAAUUAAAGUUAUCACGUCUCUCUCUCUUUUUUUAAAAAUAAAAAAUAAAAUAAAAUUCUCUGGUUAAUUCCGUCGAGUUUUACAGGUUCGGAGGAGGACAUUGGUAGAUUAUUUAGACUUUAGCUCUCAUGUAAUGCAGUACGGAAACAAAGAGCUGAGCAAAGAGCCAAUUUUUACGUAUAUUGGCACGAAUCCUGAUAACGACAACUUCACGAUGAAGGCUGAAGAAUUUUCUUCUAACCCAUCAGCUGAAAUUGCUCAUUCGAGUCGUUUGACGAGGGGAGCUGUUAGUCAGCGCGAUGCUCAACUUCAUUAUCUUUGGCACAGGGUAAUUCAAUUAAUCUUAUCAAAUUAUUGUUUAAUUAGAUCUUGUAAUUUGAGUUAUAAUAAUGUUUAUUCUUGCAGUUCAAUAGAUCGGCUGAUGGGUCUAGUGAGAAGAUCGAAGCUCAGAAGCAAUUACAGAAUGAGAUUUUAAGCAGGCAGCAAGUGGAUCAAAAUAUACAUCAAAUCAUAGCACAAGUUUUUGGGGAAGAAAAUGUUGAAAAAUCAUGCACGUGGCAUGCAAAUUCAACAAAGCAUGCAAUUUUUCAAAGAGCUACCAAACAAUUGAAGAAAAAAUGAAAAGUUGUCAAAUUUGUCAAAUUUGCCAAAUGGACACCAUUGACAUAUUUGCAUGGGCUAGGUGGAAUAGUGCUUAGGUUAGGUGGAAUAGUACUUGGGUUAGGUGGAAUAGUACUAGCUUCAAGGCUAUAAAUAGAGAGCAUUUCUUCAUUCCAUUUCAUCCCAAAAUUGUUAAGCUUAUAAGUUUCUAAGCUUUUGAGAGAAGUAAGAGAAGUGUGUCUGGGGAAUUUAUCUUUCCUGCAGAGUGUGAGAGUACUGGGUAUAUUUGGGUUUCUGGGAAGUGAGAUUCGUUACUCAAAUAUUGUACUCUAUUAAUUGUUAAAUAAACAAUUAUUCUUUCUUGCCUCCGUGGAUGUAGGUUUAAUUACCGAACCACGUAAAUUCUUGUGUCCUUUAUUUUUCUAUAAUUAUUUGGUGCCCUUGAUUCCGCAUUCCGCGCACAACAAGUGGUAUCAGAGCCGACGGUUCGUACUUGGGGGAUACGGUACUGUUCACGUAUACGGUACUAUUCACAUAUACGAUACUGUUCACAUACGGUACUAUUCACGAAUACGGUGGAGACGGCCAUUUGUACUUGGGAGACAGUCUAUUGUAAGUAGUGUGUAUUUUUACAUGUCUAGGAAAGUUCUGUCAAUAAAGGCGAUAAGAGUCUAAGGAUUCUGGUUUUUAAUUGGGACCGAGUUCCCGUCCAGUCUCCUGGGAACUUUCCUAGUGCAUUUAUUCACGCGAAAUUAACAUCAUAGAGACUGUUUUUCAAGUGGAAAUAGUUCGUUGAGAAAAUGGUAGAAGGUGAAACUUCUAGAAUUUGGGAGAGAUCUACCGAGACUAUUUUAGGAGACACUUCAGGUGGGAGGCGAGAUUUGUCAAAUCGCUAUUCAGCACCUAUUAUUGGAGGCCAGAAGAUCGAUGUUGAAAAGUUUGAUGGGAAAAUCAACUUCGGCAUGUGGAAGCGCGAAGUUAUGGAUGCCCUUAUUCAAAUUGAUCUCGAUGUUGUUCUGAAAAAUAAAAGACACUUGUAUGAUGAAGAAAUUUGGGAUCGUAUGAAUGAGAAAGCUUGUGGUCAGAUCAAAUCUUGUUUGACCAAGGAGGUGAAAUACUUGGUGAAAGAUGAGGAGUGUGCGGUGACUUUGUGGCAUACAUUGGAAGAGAAGUACUUGCUAAAAAGUCCUGAAAAUCACCUUCAUGCAAUGAGCCAAGUAUAUGACUUUCGAAUAAAGCCUGGGGUGUCAAUGCACGAGCAUGUCUCAAGAUUUGAAAAGUUACAUGCUGAUUUAAAGAAUCUUGAUGAAGAUAUUAAGGAUGAAGUCAAGGCUAUGAUUAUGUUACACUCACUACCAGAGGAAUAUAGCCAUUUUGUGACUACCUUGAUAUAUAGGAAAAGCGUGAUCAUUUUCAAAGAUGUGUGCACAGCAUUGACUAACUUGGAGAUUCGGAAUAAUAAUAAAAAUUAUGAACGAGCAUCGUCUGAAGCUUUGGUGAGCAGAGAUUGGGCGAUGGAGAAAAAGAAAAAGCGUGGUGGAAAGAAUUCUCGAUCCAAAUCGAGAAGCAGAAAUAUAGCUCGAGACGAGUGUGCCUUUUGUCAUGAAAAGGGCCAUUGGAGGAAAGAUUGUCCAAAGGCUCAAAAGAGAGAUGGGAAGAAACCAGCAACAGCAAACAUGGCACGGAAAAGAUAAAGACUCUGAUUAUUCACUAAGUAUUACUCCUGCAGCAUACGUGGCUAGUUCGAGCGAGUGGAUACUUGAUACUGGAGCAACCUAUCAUUUGUGUCCUAUUAAGGAAUGGUUUACAAAUUUUUGUAAUCUGGAAUCCGGUGCAGUUGUGAUGGGGAAUGAUCAACCUUGUUGCACAAUGGGGAUAGGAACAAUUCGGCUCAAAAUGUUUGAUGGAAUGGUCAGAGAACUCAAAGAUGUUAGAUUUGUUCCAUCUUUAAAGAAAAAUCUAAUUUCUGUGGGUGCUUUGGAAGCUAAAGUCUACAAGGUUACCAUUGAAGAUGGUAUAAUGAAGUUUACACAUGGGGCUAUGGUGAUUCUGCAAGGGGUUCGGCGUCACAAUCUGUACUAUUUGAAGGGAGGUACAACUGAUGAAGCAAAUGUUGUUGAGGCGCACAGUGACACCACCAAGCUAUGGCAUGUACGACUGGGACAUGCUGGAGAGAAGUCUUUGCAAACUCUGAUGAGGCACAGACUCUUAAAAGGUACCAAAACCUGUAAAUUAAAUUUCUGUGAGCAUUGUGUAGUAGGCAAGAAAACAAAGGUCAAGUUUGGUACAGCUAAUCACGAUACUCGUGAGAUCCUUGAAUAUGUUCAUAGUGAUGUAUGGGGACCAACCAAGACUGCAUCAAUUGGUGGAAGCCAUUAUUUUGUUACAUUUGUUGAUGAUUUCUCUAGACGUGUGUGGGUGUACACCAUGCGAGCAAAGGAUGAGGUUCUAGAGAUUUUCGUGAAAUGGAAGAAAUUGGUGGAGACUCAAACUGGCAGAAAGAUCAAAGUAUUACGAUCUGAUAAUGGGGGUGAAUAUACUUCUGAUCCAUUCUUGCAAGUAUGCCAGAACGAGGGUAUUAAAAGACAUUUCACGGUGAGACAUACUCCGCAACAGAACGGUGUGGCUGAGCGUAUGAAUCGUACUUUACUGGAGAAGGUACGGUGUGUUAGAGUGCAAUUUAUGCACUAGUUUUGCAUUAUUUACUUCCCUUAAUAUCAAUGUUUUGCACUUAAUAAUAGUGAUUUACUUGUGUUUUACUUUUGUAGGUGCAAUUCUAUUGAUUGAUAAUAAAAUUGAGCUAUAAGAUGAUGUUUAAGGAUGAUUGUUCUCUUGGAGAAAUUAUGAGCGUCAGAAGAACUUUGUUGAUAAGGCGUGGGCGCGUGCUGUCAACUGCGGACCUGCAGUUUUUAGUUUAACGUGUUUUGUAUUUUUGGUUAUUUUUGUAAUUACGAAUUUAAUAUUUCAGAUAUUAGGAUUUUAUUUUAAAUAGAAUUCUAAAAGAGAAGAGAGAGAGAGUAUUUAAGGGAGGAAUCUAUUGUGAAAAAGGGGGAUUUGGAUUGGAGGAAAAAGAAAGAAACCCUAGAUCUAAUUUUUCUCUUCUCUCUAUGAAGAACUAAACCUAUUUUUCUGGUUGAAGGAUAAUGAAGCUUUGAUUCAUCACUACUGUGAGAUCUUUCUUAUGCUUUAAUUAUUUUAUUACUUUUUGGGUAUUUGUUUAGUCUCUGAAUUAGUUUCAUGAUUAUGUUUGUUAAUUAGGUAAUUGGCCACUAUUUAAUUAUCAACUUAAUCUAUUGUCAAUUAAAGGAUUCAUCGUAUGAAGAGUUUAAUGUUUGUGACAAAUAACAUAGCAGAGAGUUGUGUUGUGAGAAUAAACAAUCUAAUUUAAAUGAAUCAUUAUAUGUGUUGAUUAGGAUUUGAGUCUCUCUGGUUUUUCAGGCUGUCAAUUGAUUAAAUCCUAUGAUCGUAUCUAGGGUUGUCUAUUGAUUAGGGAAAUAUCCAACGGUCGUACCUUGGUUAUCAACUAGUUAAGGAGAGAUUGGCUAUUAGAGGGUCUCAAUAGCUAUAACCAGUAUAUUCAUAAGUAAUAAUAAUCUAUAUUUGAAUCAAUGAUCAGUAGUCGAAUCAAGCUGAGUUAAUUCCUUCAACCAGAGCUUUCUCCAAUUUGAAUUACAACUUUAAUUUGCAUUCUUGUUAUUUUAAUUUGAUUUUUAUUAUUAUCAACAAUUUCCCCAUUUUUACGUUUUACGUUUCAAAAGGAUUUAAAUAAUUACCGAUCUCUGUGGACACGACCCUGCUCAAUCACUAUACACAAUUUAUUUAGAGUAGGAAUUUAUUUUUGUUGGCUUCGACAACCAUCAAAUUUUGGCGCUGUUGCCGGGGAUUGGUGUCAUUUAUUUAAUCCUUUUUACGCUUUACUUGGUGUAUGGUUCGUUCUUCUCGUACAGGUACACUUUCAUUUGAUCCUGAAAUUGAGAAGACAGCUCGCCAGCUGAGACAGCAGACUAAGCGAGCUAAGCAACGAUCCUCAUCGACUUUGCUUUCUAAAACAGAUACAGUGCUAGAUUUAGUUGAAUCAUCUAGCGAUUCAGAAGAACAAGUGAUGGAUAGACCUGCACAUGUAGAAAGAACUCUUAGAGAGUUAGUUGAACCAGACUUGAAUCAACAACCACUCUGCAUUCAAUAUGUAGACUUGGAGGUAAAUUUUGAAUUACAGUCUGGUCUUAUUCAUUUAUUACCCAAGUUUCAUGGUUUUGCAGGUGAAGAUCCUCAUAAACAUCUUAAGGAGUUUCAUGUUGUGUGUUCAAGUAUGAGACCACAAGGCGUUACUGAAGAGCAGAUUAAGCUGCGUGCUUUUCCGUUCUCUGUAGAUGGGCUAGCUAAAGAUUGGUUGUACUACUUGCCUCCUGGAUCGAUUACAACAUGGAAUAGUUUGAAGAAGCAGUUCCUUGAGAAGUACUUUCCUACUUCAAGAGCUGCCAACAUCAGAAAAGAUAUUUGUGGGAUCAGACAACUUCUUGGAGAGACUUUGUAUGAGUAUUGGGAGCGAUUCAAACAAUUGUGUGCCAGUUGUCCUCAGCAUCAUAUUUCUGAUCAACUUCUUAUUCAAUAUUUUUACGAAGGACUAUCAUUGAUGGAUAUGAGUAUGAUAGAUGCUGCUAGUGGAGGCGUGUUGGUGAACAAGACCCCUACUCAAGCAAGGGAGUUGAUCUCAAAUAUGGCUGCCAAUGCACAACAAUUUGGCAGCCGGCAAAAUGCCACUUCAAGAACGGUGAAUGAGGUAAAUAUUUCUUCAGUUGAACAACGUUUAGAUAAAAUCACUUCUCUUGUGAAAAAGUUUGUUGUAGGUAAUGUGCAACAGGUGAAGACUUGUGGUAUUUGUUACAAUAUGGGUCAUUCAACUGAUAUGUGUCCUACACUUCAAGAAAAACUCGUGGAACAAGCCAAUGCAGUUGGAGGAUUUCCAGGCAUGCCUCAGAGGAGGUAUGAUCCUUAUGCACAAACAUACAAUCCAGGAUGGAAGGAUCAUCCCAACUUCAGCUAUGGAGUUAGGCCGUCAGGAUUCCCACAACAGUAUCCACCAAGACAACCAGCACCUCCACAGUCAAACUCCAAGUCAGGUAUAUCUCUCGAAGAAAUUGUUAAAUCACUUGCGACUAACACUCAACAAUUUCAUCAGGCAACUACAGCAAGCAUUCAGAACUUGGAGAACCAAAUGAGUCAAUUGGCGACUACAGUGAGCCGUCUGGAGUCUCAAGUAUUAGGGAGAUUACCUUCACAAUCUGAGGUGAAUCCAAAGCAAAACGUUAGUGCUGUCAUCCUUAGAAGUGGAAAAGAGUUGCAAGAGCCUAGUAAGAAAGUGACAAAGCAUGUAGAAGAUGAGCUUGAGAAGAAUGAAUUGAUGCCUCAAUCUCAAGAUGCGCAACCCACCAGAGCGAAACCCCUACCUAUUGUGAUACCUCCUCCUUUUCCAAGCCGGUUUGCAAAAUCCAAGAAGGAGGAGCAAGAGAAAGACAUCCUUGAGACAUUUCGCAAGGUUGAGGUAAAUAUUCCUUUAUUAGAUGCUAUAAAACAGAUACCUCGAUAUGCUAAAGUCCUUAAGGAACUAUGCACCUCUAAGAGAAAAUUAAGAGGAGAUGAAAAGUUCACAUGGAGGAGAAUAUUUCAGCAGUUCUUCAAAAGAAACUACCUCCUAAGUGCAAGGAUCCAGGUAUGUUUACUAUUCCUUGUAAAAUUGGUAGUGUUAGAAUUGAAAAGGCUUUGUUAGAUCUAGGAGCUUCUAUUAAUGUCAUGCCUCGUUCUAUUUAUUCAUCUUUGAAUAUUGGUCCAUUAAAAGAAACUGGCGUGAUAAUUCAACUAGCCGAUAGGUCUAAUGCAUAUCCUAAUGGGGUAUUAGAAGAUGUCUUAGUACAAGUUAAUGAGUUAGUUUUUCCUGCUGAUUUUUAUGUACUUGAUAUGGAAGAUGAUAACUCCUCUAAUUCUGUCCCAAUUUUGCUAGGAAGACCUUUUCUUAAGACUGCUAGGACUAAAAUGGAUGUACAUAAAGGAACUCUCACUAUGGAGUUUGAUGGAGAGGUUAUAGAAUUCAAUAUGAAUGAUGCCAUGAAAUAUCCUAGUGAUGAACAUUCAGUAUUCUCUGUGGAUGUUAUUAACCCUAUAGUGCAGGAAGUUUUUUACAAGAAAAAGACGAAGACAUUUCAUAAUAGAAUGAUUUUGAGAAAGGAGUUCUCUGUUGGUCAAAAAGUUCUUCUUUUUCAUUCUAAACUUAAACUUUUUCCGGGUAAAUUACGUUCUUGCUGGGUUGGACCUUUUAUUGUUACUAAUGUUUUUCCUCAUGGUGCAGUUGAGAUUCGGAGUCCGACCUCUGAUAGAGUUCUUAAGGUUAAUGGUCAUCGCUUAAAACCUUUUUAUGAAGGUUUUUCGGUGAAUAUCGUGGAGGAUGUGGCUCUCGAGAGUCCCAAUUAUGGAGAUUGAUGCAUAAAUGUGUCUAGCCAAAGACAUAAAACAAAGGCGCUUUUUGGGAGGCAACCCAAAUAAUUUGUUUAUUUUGGUUUUUGUUUUAUCUUCUUUUUGUUUUGAUUCAAAAAAAAAAAAUGCGUUUGCUUAUUUUGGUCAGAAGAAAAUUUUUGAUAAGGCGUGCCCACAUCUUAACUAAUAAGUACUUCUGUAAUUUUUAAAGUAAAAUAGUUUUAAGGCGUGCCCACGUACUUAUUAGAAAAGUACUUCUGAAAUUUUUAGUGUCUUAAAGUGAUUCAUCAAAAAAAAAAAAAUUUAAUGUGUUUGCUUAUUUUGGUCAGAAGAAAAUUUUUGAUAAGGCGUGCCCACGUACUUAUUAGAAAAGUACUUCUGAAAUUUUUAGUGUCUCAAAGUGAUUCAUCACUUAAAAAAAAAAAAUUUAUUUAUUUAUUUUUUUCGUUCCUUUCUUUCUUUUAUAUAUAUAUAUAUAUAUAUUUAUUUAUUUAUUUAUUUAUUUAUUAAAAAAAACCAAAAAUCGAAAAUCACUGUUCACAAAUCCCUAAUUCAAAAAUUACUGUUGAUUAUCGUUUUACAGCAGCGCGCCUCAGCUCCAGCCUUCACCGCGCAACCAGCAGCAGCAGGCGAGUACGCUCAGCCUCAGCGCAGCACAUCAGUCCCGUGCGCGCAGCGCAACAGAUCUGCAACACAGCCACGCAACGCAGCACGAACCAGCUCUCGCGCGCAGCACCAGCAUCGAGCACCAUCCCGUGAGCGCAGCACCAGCAUCCCGUGUCUCGCAGCCCAGCAGCGCGCAACGCAGCGCAGCACCCGCAAAGCAAGCCUCAGCAGCGUGCAACGCGAAUCAUCCCCAGCUGCGAGCGCAGCGCGAACCAGCCCCAACCCGAGCACGCAACGCAACAAGCGUCACCAGCGCCCGCACCAGCAAUCCCCCACCGCGCAGCAACAGCCGCAGCACGCAGAUCCAGCGUCACCAGUUCGCAGCAUCAGUCCCAUCCGCGCGCAACUGAACCAGCAGCCGUGUACCCGCAAGCUCCAGUCGAGCAGCAAUAGUCCGCAGCCAGCCUACGACCUGCAUUCCAGCCGCGUGAAUCGAAAUCCGUGACAAGAUGGAGCAGAAUUUGGCCGCAUACUUCAAGAGUGUGGGAUUUAUCCCACCAUUCCCGCCAAGCCCGUAGACGUUAUGAGGAUCAAUGCUCACAAUUCAGGGAAGUUUUUGCCUUUAAUCUUUUAUCCUUACGCUUUAAUUUUUAUGUGAGCUUUGAUUAUCUUACAUUGGGGACAAUGUAAGUUCUUGGUGUGGGGGAGGGAUUUUUGCAUUAUUGAUGUCUGGAAUUAUUGUUUUCACUCUACUUAUCUUUUUUUUCACUCUACUCAUCCUUAAAUGAUUUUGGAGUUAGUAUGCUUUAUAUAUUAUUAAUUUUCUUUUCCUUUAUCUCUCACUACUCUUUUCCCAUCUAUCUCACAUUAUUUACAUCUAUUUUUUUUCUAUCAUACUUUUUCAUCACUCACAUUUUAUCUUUCAUUUUUUUUACUACAUACAUCUUUCUCGCUUAUUAUCAUUUUUACCUUUCCUUUUAUAUCUCACUCAUACCUUCUUCUCAUUCUACACCACUAUUGAUGGUUGAUUCAUUUGAAGAGUGUACAGGAUUUGAUGGCAAAUUUACCAACUUUGUGAGGAUUUGAGCCUAUGAGCAACCACUUUGCUCUAAUUAUUUUUGUUAUGUGAAUAUCAAUCCUAGUUUGUUUAUUCUAGAACUUGCUUUAUUAUGCAUGUUGAAGCCACAUUACGGGAUUUUAUGCAUUAAAAUGAUAAGGGCAAACCAUUUACCAUUUUUCUAUUCUCGCAUUUUCCUUUUUCUCUACCCGAAGACCUUUAUUUGCUACCUUUGUUUGAGCCUUAACAAUUACCCAUCUAAUUCUCUCCGUCUACUUAACCAUUUUUCUUCUUUUUUGAGCCUCAAUUUAAGGAGAUUUUUGGACUCAUUGUGUGGAUAUAUUUUGUUGCUUUUUCUACCUUGUAAUAAAGUUUCUCAAUUAAAUCAACAAGCAUUAUGCUUGAAUUAAAUUGUGCAAGGUUCGUUUCUUUUGUUUGAUUCAAAAACAAAACAAAAAACAAAAAACAAAAAAAAAGAAAAAAAAAGAAAAAGAAAAAUCACAAAAAAAAAACAAAAAAAAAUGUUUACAUUCUUGGUGACUUGAGUAGAAAUAAGCAUUUUGAUAUCAUAAGUUCAUUCAAUGAGUUCAUUCUUCUCGUUUUGAUCUCUUUUUCUUUCCUAAACCUUUCUUUUUCAUUUAACUCAUUUAACCCCAUUACAACCCUUUUAAGACCCUUAGAUUUUGCAUUUUAUUCAUGUUUUGUGGAUUGAGAUGUGAUAUAUGAGCAAGCUUAUGGUAAUAGCAUUCUUUGAUUUGAUUUGAGUGAAUAAAUGACACCCUAAACACUUUGAGUGCAUGGAGUGAAGUCAAUGAGAGGGCUAUUAAAUCUUGUUGCACUUGAAUUUUGAAUGGAUCUUCUUGGUGGUUGAAUGUUCUUAUUCUAUCUUAUGAGAUUCUAUGCUUUAAAAAUCAUUGUCUCUCGAAUGUUGAUCGACUUAAUUUCUUGAGGUAUACUUGCUUAAAAUUGUUUUUGGAUGAGUUGAGAUGAGAAUUGAGUGGAGAUUUGGGAUUAGUCUUGAGUUAUAUGCUUGAGGACAAGCAUCAUCUUGGUGUGGGGGAAUUUGUUAGAGUGCAAUUUAUGCACUAGUUUUGCAUUAUUUACUUCCCUUAAUAUCAAUGUUUUGCACUUAAUAAUAGUGAUUUACUUGUGUUUUACUUUUGUAGGUGCAAUUCUAUUGAUUGAUGAUAAAAUUGAGCUAUAAGAUGAUGUUUAAGGAUGAUUGUUCUCUUGGAGAAAUUAUGAGCGUCAGAAGAACUUUGUUGAUAAGGCGUGGGCGCGUGCUGUCAACUGCGGACCUGCAGUUUUUAGUUUAACGUGUUUUGUAUUUUUAGUUAUUUUUGUAAUUACGAAUUUAAUAUUUCAGAUAUUAGGAUUUUAUUUUAAAUAGAAUUCUAAAAGAGAAGAGAGAGAGAGUAUUUAAGGGAGGAAUCUAUUGUGAAAAAGGGGGAUUUGGAUUGGAGGAAAAAAAAAAGAAACCCUAGAUCUAAUUUUUCUCUUCUCUCUAUGAAGAACUAAACCUAUUUUUCUGGUUGAAGGAUAAUGAAGCUUUGAUUCAUCACUACUGUGAGAUCUUUCUUAUGCUUUAAUUGUUUUAUUACUUUUUGGGUAUUUGUUUAUUCUCUGAAUUAGUUUCAUGAUUAUGUUUGUUAAUUAGGUAAUUGGCCACUAUUUAAUUAUCAACUUAAUCUAUUGUCAAUUAAAGGAUUCAUCAUAUGAAGAGUUUAAUGUUUGUGACAAAUAACAUAGCAGAGAGUUGUGUUGUGAGAAUAAACAAUCUAAUUUAAAUGAAUCAUCAUAUGUGUUGAUUAAGAUUUGGGUCUCUCUGGUUUUUCAGGCUGUCAAUUGAUUAAAUCCUAUGAUCGUAUCUAGGGUUGUCUAUUGAUUAGGGAAAUAUCCAACCGUCGUACCUUGGUUAUCGACUAGCUAAGGAGAGAUUGGCUAUUAGAGGGUCUCAGUAGCUAUAACCGGUCUAUUCAUAAGUAAUAAUAAUCUAUAUUUGAAUCAAUGAUCAGUAGUCAAAUCAAGCUGAGUUAAUUCCUUCAACCAGAGCUUUCUCCAAUUUGAAUUACAACUUUAAUUUGCAUUCUUGUUAUUUUAAUUUGAUUUUUAUUAUUAUCAACAAUUUCCCCAUUUUUACGUUUUACGUUUCAAAAGGAUUUAAAUAAUUACCGAUCUCUGUGGACACGACCCGUACGGUGUAUGUUAUCUAAUGCUGGUUUAGAUCAAAAGUUUUGGGCUGAAGCUGUGAGCUACGCAAGUCACUUGGUAAACUGGUUGCCUUCUGCUGCAAUUGGAGGUAAAACUCCUAUGGAAAUAUGGUAUGGAAAACAUGCACAAGACUAUGAUUCCCUUCGUAUAUUCGGGUGUCCCGCUUAUUAUCAUGUCAAAGAUGGUAAACUGGAUCCUUGUGCUAGAAAAUCUAUCUUUGUGGGAUUUAAAGGUGGAGUAAAGGGCUUCAAGCUUUGGGAUCUCGAAGACAAAAAGUUUGUGUGUAGCAGAGAUGUCACAUUUGAUUAAGUUUCAAUGAUGAAAGCUUCAAGUUCUCAGCAGGUGGAGAACAAGACCAAAGAGGUAUUGCAGCGGGUGGAGUUUGAUGCAACUCCAUAUGUACCAGCGAGUUCUACAUCAAAAAAGGGUUCAACUAUGGAGGUGACACCUAGAGUUGAAGAAGAGGUUGUUUCUUCUGAUGUCCCACAAAAUGAAGAAACAAUUGAUGAUGUAGAUAAUGAUGAUUGUAUAGCAACAAGGAGGCCAAGAAGAGAGAUAAAGAAACCCAUAUGGCUUACUAAAGAUAUGGUGGUAGCCUAUGCACUUCCAGUUAUUGAUGAUGACAUCCCCAAUACUUUCGGUGAAGCAUUACGCAGCAGUGAAAGUGUCAGUGGAAGUUAGCCAUGGAGGAAGAGAUGAAAUCUCUCCAUCAAAACCAGACUUGGGAACUUGUAAAGUUACCAAAGGGGAAAAGGGCUAUUGGCAAUAAAUGGGUCUACACCAAAAAGCAAGGAUCUGCUAAUCAAACAACUCCUCGAUACAAGGCAAGGCUCGUGGCAAAAGGUUUUGCUCAAAAGGAAGGUAUUGACUACAAUGAAGUUUUCUCUCCAGUUGUAAAACAUACUUCCAUUCGUAUCCUACUUGCCUUAGUUGCAGAAUAUGAGUUAGAGUUGGCUCAAUUGGAUGUUAAGACGGCGUUCUUACAUGGAGAUUUGGAGGAGAAAUCUAUAUGAUUCAGCCUUGUGGUUUCAGAGUUGCUGGAAAGGAGAAUCAUGUGUGUAGGUUGAUUAAAUCUUUGUACGGACUGAAGCAAUCACCAAGGCAGUGGUACAAAAGAUUUGAUCAAUUUAUACAAGGGCAGAAAUUCACCAGAAGUGAACAGAAUCAUUGUGUUUACUUUAGAAGACUACCAGAUGGAGCUUUCAUCUAUUUGUUACUCUAUGUCGAUGAUAUGCUUAUAGCUUCGAAGAAUAGAGAUGAGAUCAAAAGAUUAAAAAAGCAGCUGGCUUCUGAGUUCGAGAUGAAAGACUUGGGUGAUGCACAAAGAAUACUUGGGAUGGAGAUUCGUAGAGACAAGAAGAAUGGGAGCGUAUGGUUGACUCAAAAGUCUUAUUUGAAGAAAGUGCUAGAAAGAUUCGGUAUGGAUGACAAAACUAAACCGAUAUGUACACCUCUAGCUCCUCAUUUCAAAUUAAGUUAUUCUUCAUGUCCUAGAUCUCAAGAGGAGCGCGAUUACAUGGCUCGUGUUCCAUAUGCUAGUGUUGUGGGUAGUCUUAUGUAUGCUAUGGUAUGCACAAGGCCCGAUAUAUCUCAAGCAGUGAGCAUGGUUAGUAGAUACAUGCACAAUUCGGGUAAAAAUCAAUGGCUUGCGGUAAAGUGGAUUCUCUGAUAUCUGUAUGGGACAGUUGAUGUUGGGUUAUUGUUCAAGAAGGAUUGUGGUCAACAAUAUGUUGGGUAUUGUGAUUCUGAUUUCGUUGGAGACCUUGACAAGUGAAGAUCAACAACGGGCUACGUAUUCACAUUGGGUGGAGGUCCGGUUAGCUGGAGGUCGAUUCUACAAUCGACAAUUGCUUUGUCCACUACGGAAGCAGAGUAUAUGGCAGCAACUGAAGCUGUAAAAGAAGCUAUCUGGUUGAAAGGCUUGUUAGGUGAUUUGGGAGUAAUCUAGGAGAACAUUGCGAUCUUCUGUGAUAAUCAAAGUGCGAUAUUCCUUGCGAAGAAUCAAACAUAUCACGCUCGGACGAAGCACAUAGAUGUGAAAUAUCAUUAUGUGAGAGAGAUUAUCGAGAGCGGUGUUGUGUUGUUAAGAAAGAUCGAUACCAAAGAUAAUCCAUCAGAUAUGUUGACGAAGGUAGUUUCUGGAGUUAAGUUUCAAUAUUGCUUGAAACUAAUUCAAAUCCUUCGAUUGUGUUAAGAUAUGUCAUUCAGGAAUUUUGAACUAUGGUUGGCUUGAUCCCAAAUUUUGGGUACGUAGGUAGUCACAGAGAUGCAGCCACUUUGGGGAUGAUGGUUCGUUGGUAGUCGGCUCAGAUUUGGACAAAUUUUCGCCGAGGUAGAGAAUUGUUGAAAAAUCAUGCACGUGGCAUGCAAAUUCAACAAAGCAUGCAAUUUUUCAAAGAGCUACCAAACAAUUGAAGAAAAAAUGAAAAGUUGUCAAAUUUGUCAAAUUUGCCAAAUGGACACCAUUGACAUAUUUGCAUGGGUUAGGUGGAAUAGUGCUUAGGUUAGGUGGAAUAGUACUUAGGUUAGGUGGAAUAGUACUAGCUUCAAGCCUAUAAAUAGAGAGCAUUUCUUCAUUCCAUUUCAUCCCAAAAUUGUUAAGCUUAUAAGUUUCUAAGCUUUUGAGAGAAGUGAGAAAAGUGUGUCUGGGGAAUUUAUCUUUCCUGCAGAGUGUGAGAGUACUGGGUAUAUUUGGAUUUCUGGGAAGUGAGAUUCGUUACUCAAAUAUUGUACUCUAUUAAUUGUUAAAUAAACAAUUAUUCUUUCUUGCCUCCGUGGAUGUAGGUUUAAUUACCGAAUCACGUAAAUUCUUGUGUCCUUUAUUUUUCUAUAAUUAUUUGGUGCGCUUGAUUCCACACUCCGCGCACAACAGAAAAUGUGUCGAAAAUGAUUGAGUCCAUUCGACCAGCAGGAUAAGAUCAUUCUUUUAACCAGAUCCAAAGAAAUGCUUUAUACUUUUUUUGCAUGACACUUGAGAAAAGAAAAAAACAAAUUAGAAGAAAAAUAAGGAAUUAUGAUAUUUCAAGACAACAGCUAUAAGAUAAGAAAACCAAAGCAAAUAUGGAAACAAAUACAAUAAAAAAAAAGGCAUUAAACAUUCUUUAUCCAUCCUUCAAUUAUUGCCUCAAUAUUAACAAAUCAUUUAAAAUCCCAAAGAUCAUAUUAAUUGUGCUAUUGAGGCUUCGGGACAUUGUAAUCAAAGACUGAGAAAGCUAUCUUCCCUAUAAAAAGUUUUAUUUUCUUAGUCACUAUGAUGCGUAAUUAAAAAAAUUAUCAAAAUCACCACCUAAAGCAACUUAUAAAUACAAAAAUAGUGCUAAACAUCUCAAAUUUUUUAUUUUAAAAAAUUAUGUCAGAUCAUGUGACAUUCACUAACUAGUUGGAGAGAUAAUAUAAUUAAUUUAUCUAGAUUUAGUAAAAAAUUAUCAAUUAUUUAAUUAAUGAAAUUUAAAAUAAAAAAUUUGAGAUGGCUAAUCAUUACUCUAAAUAUAAUAGACACCAAAAUAAUAAAAAAUUAAAGUUUAAGAGUUCAAAAUAUUUUAUUUAUAGUCUCAUGAAUAGAACAACAUAAUUGCAAACGGCACAUUUUCUCACUUACGUUUCUUUGUUGGCACACGUAAUUAUAAAAAAUUUAGAACAGUAGUACCGAAUGAGCUUGAAUUAAUUAAUUGUAUUGUGUGUAAUGCAUUGAGGUAUGCUCAACUAAGAUUUGGAAAUUGUUUAAAAAAAAUGAAAUCAUGGAUAUAUUUUCAGAUAAUCCAUAAGUAUUUGAAAAAAAAAAAAAAAGAAGUAUUUAACACCCUAUUAUAUCCUGAUAAAUAUCUCUUCUACUAAACUUGACAAACACUAAUAUAACAAACCCCAAUUAUUUUCUCCUGUAUUCUUUUGCGCUCUCAUAGGUGUCAUUUUAUUUUUUUGAGUCUUAUGUUGCUAAAUUUUUAGAUUCGUGAUCAAUUCAUUUUCAUGAUUUUUUUUUUCAGUCUAUGAUCUUCAUCUAUACAAAUUUAAAAUACUCCCUUUUGUUUUCUUCAUUUUUUCAGAUUAUUUAUUUUUAAUUUUGGGAAACUAAUGUUUUUAAGUUUUGUAAAGAAAGAAAGUUUGGAGAGAAGAAUAAAGAUAACAAUACUUCAAAAGAAAUUAUCACUUAUAGAAUUGUUUGUGUGAAAGGUAUGGUAAGAAGACAAUUAAAAAAAAAUUAAGAGUCAGAAAAUUGAUUGAAAUCAAAGAAAAUUUGGAAAUCAAAGCACACACAAAUUAAGGAUGAUAAUUUAGAAAGAAAUGAUCUUUUUGGUAUUAAAUGGAUCAUAAUUGAGAGGGGGUUUUAAAAGAAUAAUGGAAAGGUGUUAAAAGCCUCUCUCUUUUGAAUUUUUGUGCCUUUCCAUUGUUUGGUUGACUAUGAAAUGGGGGAAUUUAUUAAUUUCCUUUGAAAUAAAGGAAAUUAAUAAAUUCCAUCCAAUCAAGGGAUCUGAAUUAUUCACCGAAGAGUGAAACAGGGGCGGAGCUAUUUGUGGGCUGGGGCUGUAGCCUGUCUAAAAUUUUGAUAAGAGUUCUGCUAUUUACUCCGGGUCAAACCCCGAAAGUAAUUGAAACGACGUCGUUUCCUUUUUUUUUUUCGUUUUUGUUCUCCAUAAAACGACGCCGUUUGGUUUAAUUAGCAUCAGCCCCAAUUGUUCUCUCUUCAUCUUCAUUUCAGAACCGAUCCCAAGCACUGCAAAACCCUUCCAUCUUGAGAUUCUUCACCACUUUGACUCUUCUUGAAUAAUUCCAAAAGGGAAAAAAAAAAAAAAAAAAAAAAAAAAAAGGGGUCAUGUCACAUUAGAGAGCAACUUUGUGCUAUACAUUCUUCAAGUCGAGCUGAGGAAACUGAAGUUCAAAGUUAUCAGGACAAAUUUUGAUCCAUAUACAUUUAUUCACAUACAUGAAUUAUUACCAGCAACGUGUCAUUGGAUUUUCACAUGCACACAUGCAUCUUCUUCUUUGCAAAAUGAAAAGCACUUCAUUUCUCUCAGCAAAAGCACUUCUUAGUUCGUUCUCAUAUGCUUAGAUUACAAGUUUAAUUAUUGCAAUUUCAGGCUAUUGUGAGACGAAGAGAAAAUGAAGAGAAACAUAGCAAUUUGGAGUUGUUAUUGAUUUUGUUUUAACCAAGCUGAAACGAAGGGGAAGAGAAAUAGAGAAAUAGAAGGAGGGGUUGUGAGACAGAGAAAAAGCAAUUUGUUGAGACGAAGAGAACGAAGUGAAGGAGUGGGGCUGUUGUUGAUUUUUUUUUUCCUUAAAACGACGUCGUUUUAGGAAGAAUGAAAUGAAAAAAAAAAGAAUUAAAACGACGUCGUUUAUUAUUUUCGGGGUUUCAAAAUUUACAAAAUUGUCAUUGCUUUACACUUUUAUUUACAACUUCACCAUUCUAUUAAUUUACCACUUUGUCAUUCUUAUAAAUAAAUAAAAUGAGCAUUUACUUUAUUCUUGGAGAACGCGCUCUCUUUGUUUUUUGGCUCCUUCGUGCUGACAUGCUCUGCUUCUUCAGUUAUUCGUCUUCUCUUGGUAGGAAUAUAUAACAUAUUUAUUUUUUAUUUGAUCAUUUACAAUAUAUUUAUAAAUUGUAAGAUGGUAAAGACUAAAAAUCAUAUUCUUUAGUUAGUUUAUGUUCUAAUUUUAUUAUGUAAGAUUAAAUUAUUGUUAGGUCAAACCAUUGAAUUCUAGCAAUUAAAUUUUUAAAUUUAUUAUUGAUAAAUCAUAGAUUAGAGAUAAUUAUUUUAGUGAAAAAUUAGAAGAAAUGCAAGAGCUCAUCAAGACACCACUUUAAAAUAAGAUAGAGAAAUUUAUAUCAGACUGUACGAUUAUCUAUGUUGAAAGAAAAUUUCUAGACAUUGUCGAUUCAAAUUCGGUAAUAGAUGAAUUUAAUUCUUGAAAGUUUAGAAAGACACAACUGAAAUAUUAUUUAAUUGUAAUUGAAUUGCUUCUUAAAAUUGAUGUAUUUUCUUAUAUAUUAAUGAAAUUUUCAUUAAAAAUUAUAUUUUUAAUUGCGAUAAUAUUUGGACUUGGAAAAAAUUUAACACACCCAAAAAAUUUUUCUUUACUUCGCCCGUGAAAUGAGGAAUCCAAAUUCCAAAUUCACUAGAAAUCUAAACUUCCAAAUUUACCCUUUUUAUAUUUUACUAUUAAUUAGUUUAUUGUUAUUAAAGCAAUUAUUAUUUAUAAUUUUUUUGUCACGUAAUUUAACGGCAAAGUUUGAUUCAACAAGAAAUUUUUUAAAAAAGAUUUAUUUGAUUUACCAAAAAAAGCCCGUUAAUUACACUUAAAUGUAAUUUUUUUAAUUUAAAAAAUAAAAAAUAAUUGAGUAGGGGAAAAAGUAUAUUUUAUAACUAAUUGUAGGAAUAAAAAUAUCAUUUUGUAACUAUUAUAGGGGCAAAAAUAUUAUUUUAUAAUUAAUUAUAAGGACAAAAAUUUCAUUUUGUAAUUAAUUUACUAUUCCCAUUGAAGUUAACAACAAAGUUAACGAAUGAUCACCUGCUUAAUUAUUUUUUUAAAAACGUAUCAUUUUUAAAAAAUUUGUCAAAACAUGUGUCACCCAAAGGUAAUUAACGCUUAUUUUUUAAAUUCUUAGGUGUUUACCAUUUGAUUUAAUCACGUAACAUAUACCUAUGGCGAAAAAACAUAUCUCAUCCUUCUAUCAACAAACAGUAACGUCUAAAUCUUCCAGCUUGUUUUUGGGGUCUGAGGCAUUUUCGUCUUUCAUUAGUCAAAUGGACGGUAAAGCUGAUGACACAUGACAGGAGUGGUAUGUAAUAAUACAGCAAACUCACCAUCUAAAUAUAAAUACGUGAAACUUAAGGGGAAGCUAUCUAAACUUUACCCUAUUAGAAAAUGGGCCCAAUCCCCGUUAGCAGCCCCCAUUGAAAGAGUGGGGCAAAGCAACCACCUGGGUAAAAGUACAUUUUAAAAAUAAACAUGAAAAAGAAUAGAAUAUUCCUAUCUUAUAUGUAUAUAAGAUAUAUUUUUUCACAUAAAUAGUGUAUGUGGAUGAAAGGUUCAGAAAGAAAGAACCAUUGACACCGAAUUUAUUAUAAAUAAAAUUAAUUAUUUGUUUAUGACCUGAUUGAAGGUUGAUAUAAAUCUUGUAUUUUAUGACUUUAUAGCGAUUUUUUAGAAUUUCAAAGUUCAAACCCAUAAAAAAUGAUAAGUAAAGUGAGACUGAGAAUUCAUUUGGCUUUCGCAAUGGUGAUGGUAAAAUGAAUUUUUUCCUCGGUUUAUUGACUGUUCUUAAUGAGUCGUGAUCUAAUAAUCAAUUCUUUUGUCCUUUCUCUUAUAUUUCCACAUAUGAAUAAUCAUGGUUUGACUAAAGAAUUUUUUUUUUUUUCCUCUAUGGACCAUUCGCAGACAGUCAUGGCUUAACGAAAAAAAUUUCUCUCUCGUUUUUCCUUUAUUGACUAUCCUUAAUCUGUCAUAAUCUAGCUAAUAAUUUUGUUAUCUGUCCACUAUUAUUGAUCAAUCGUGAAUUCCUGCAUUUUAUUGGUUCCUUAAAAUCUUGAAGUUUUUAUUAUUACGACUUAUCUCGUUAUAACAAAUGAAAGAACGAGGAAGAGAAAAUGGAGAUAUGAAUCAAGUAAAAUUAUAAAAGAUUCUAUUUUAUCUAAUUAAACUAUGCUAAUAUAAAAAUAAAGCUUACUCUAUUUAUAUUAUUAAAUAAAAUCAUUUGUCAAACAAUAUUUGGCAUCAAAGAGCAACUUGGUCGAAAUAAAAUAUUUGGUUGACGUUCGUUUCUUCCACAUAAAAAAUAUUAUGUGCACCCAACUAACAUUUUUUUCAUAAAGAUUCCUUUGAUGAUCAUCAUAUAUCAUCAUCUCAUUUGAAAGAAAUAUUUUUACAUAAAAUUUAGAAUAUGGUAAUGCUAUAAUGACUUUAAAAAAAAAAUUCAAGGGUUUAUUUGCCCUCGUAAGAUCAAACUACAUGUACAUGUAUAUAUUUAAAAAAAAAAAAGCUACAAAUACAUGUUGCAACAAUUUGUGAACAACUAAAGUAACCUAAACCAUAAAUACUAACCAAAGUAUUUUCCAAGCAUUGAGUUACUUUAAAACAAUCUCUCGUUAUUAUUAUUAUUAUUAUUUUAAAUCUAUAUACAACAUUGCCAUAGUAAUGCAUUUUAAGAAAGUUUUAUGGAGUACACAAUCCCAGAUUUUAUCAAUUAAAUACCCUUUGAGACAAUUGUUGGCAGGUUCAAAAAUAAUUUUUAUUAGGAAGUUUAAAAUUAAUUUCGAUGUUUGAUAAUUUAUUUUAAAAGAGUAAAUUUUGAAUUACUCCUUUCGUGAAAUGAUAAUUUUUAAAAUAUGAUUUAAAUUGUUGUAAACUUGAAUUUAUUUCUUUUUUAUUCAAAAGAUUAGGCAAAAAUGAGGGUGGGUCGAUAUUUUUUUUUUUAUCUUCUUACAAAAAUAUGGGAUAAAUUGAUUUUUACGAUACUUUAAAGAUAUUUUAAAAGUUGUCAUUUCACAAGAAGGUAAUCUGAAAUUAAUCUUUUUUUUUCGAAAUAGUAUUGGCAAAACCAAUUCCUACAGCACAUUCUGAUUAUGUUAAGAAAGUUUCAUUUAACAUUUUGCCUAUUUUAAUUAUUUACAUUAUCAUAGUAAUUUAACAUUAAAUUUUCUAAACACAAAAUUGGUACCGACAACAGUAAAAUUGUUUUCUUUAUAUUUUUAACAAUUUAAGAAUAAAUGCUUGAGUCCAUAUUAACCAUAUAAACAUGUUCAAUAAUCACGAUUAUCAAAGAAUUUAAAGAUUAAUAUAGAAUUUAUAAAACGAGAAUCAGGCCUCAAACCGGACAAAACAGGAAUAUUCGGUCCGGUUUGAAUCCGGUCCGGAUGCUGUAACAUAAAUCUCGGUUGCUAAUUUUAUGUUUACAUGUCAACUUAUGACCUGGCAGUCUGCCACAAACCUAUUGAUCUGCUGACAUGUCAAUUUUACUCGAACAAAUAUCCAAAAAAAAUUAAAAAUAAAAAAUAAAAGGAAAGUGAGAAAAAAGGAAAAUUAAUAAAUCUUGCUCAUGAAGUCUAAUUUGCUUCUCACUUAAAAGUCCUGCAAAUAAUAAUAAUAAUAAUAAUAAUAAUAAUAAUAAGAAUCUUGACAGAAGAUUGUGUGUGUGACAGAGAGAGCUGUUGAAGAUCGAACAAGUUUCGAGCAUUUUUGCGUUUUUACAGAACUCCAUUGCAUUGGUAAUCUUCUACUUUUUCUCUGUUAAUUAUUCUGUGUUAACUUGUGAAUCUGCUUAUAGAUCGAACAAUUUUGUGAUAUUUUUAUAACUCAAUUGUGUGUAAAUGCAUUUGGAUUAGGGUUUCGACGUUUAGAUCUUGCGUUUCGUUAUGUUCCGUUUGGUUGCCGUUAAAAUGUUGCAAAUGAAGGCUCGUUACAGUUGUUAAUUUCUCAAUGUUUCUUAUCUUGUUCAUUUGGUGCAAUUAAAAUGAUUUGAUUUAUUGGCAUUUGGAUUUCGUUUGAAAUUUUUUUUUUUCAGGAUAAGUGAUGGUGAUAAUAUUUGCAAAUCCUUGAAUUCUUUUUAGAGUUUCAUUUGAAGUUGAAGGGGGGGGGGGGGAGUUGGCCCUGAAACGGCAGGGAUAGUGAAUUUAUCAAACACAAUGAUGAUGGAUGAUGAUUUGGAGAAUGGUGGUUUGGGGCCUUACCAAGAUCGGCCGAGGACGUUCCCCAACAUGCGUAGUAAACCUUAUGUUCCUAUGAACUGUCUAUGGGAUACUCCACCCUUUAAGAAUAGCUAUAGGAACUGUCUAUGGGAUACUCCACCCUUUAAGAAUAGCCAAACAGGGAGAGAUGGUUAAUUGUGAAAAUUUUAUAAAAUUUGAAUUGAAGAUCUAGUGUACUGUUUUAAUUGAAUAAAAAGAUAAACACUUCAUUAAACAUGGUAUCAUCCUCAACUCUAGUACAAGAAAAUUAGAGAGACAUAAUUACCUUAACUCUAGUACCCGAAAAAUAGAAAGACAUAAUUAAAUUUAGAGUAAUAGAACCAAAAAAAAGCCAUUGAAAGCUUUCUCACUAAUUUUUUUUUAAUCAUGUAUAAGUUUAGACCCUAACCCAAAUAAAUUUGGAGCCCAAGUUGAUGGGCUUUCAUUUUCACUUUUUUUGUAGUUUCUUGCCCAUAAAUAAUAACCGUCUCUAUGCAUCUGUUCGUUUCUCUGUGGAAUGUGUAUUUCUAACUCAAGACUUCAGAAACUCUUUUCCCUUCGCUUCUAUGAUCAGAUUUCUGGUUAGUAAAUAAAUUAAAUACAUUUCUUACUCUUUUUCCCUAUCUAUUUUCAUAAAUUUAGUGAUGGGUUCCCCUUCAUUUUAUUUAUGGUGCUCAUAAUUAUAUGCCAUUUUGCCUUUUCAAUCCUUUGUUGGUUGCCCUUUUAGUAUAUUACAUGCAAUUUCAAUGGCUAUGAUUUUCUUAAAUUAUUAUUACUGCUGUUGUUAUAUAUUUAUUUAUUUAUGUUGUUGUUGUGUAGCUUCAGAUGGUCUAAUUGAAAUUACGAAUGUGGAUUAGUGUCAAAAUGGGAAGUGUUUGUGAAGUAGUAUAAUAGCAAUAAUAUAGCAAAAGCAAUGGGGACUGUGAUUAGUAAAGCUGCUAGUGGUAUAGGCAGUGUUCUUGGCACUGCUUUCGUGGCUCCAUUUAAGAGCAUCUUCAAUGGAUCUUGUGAGUAAGUAAUUCUAAUUCGUCAUCUCUCAUAACGCUUCUCUUUAUUCGUAUAAAUCUUUACAACAUUAAUUAUGUAUGUAAUUGCUUUAGUUGCUUAAUUAUACCAUAAUAAUGAAAGGGAGUAUCUUGCAAGUUACAAUCUAUUUGAUUAUUGCCAAUGUAAUGAUCUAUAUGUGUUCAUUUGAAAGAGGUCGUAUCAAUUGCUUUAUGCAUACAUGCGCGCGCAUUUAUUGAAUGGUGGUUUGAUUCGAUUUGCUUGGCUAUGCAGGGAUGUUUGUCCAGGACCAUGGGACAUAAUUUGUUUCAUCGAGCACUUAUGUGUCACCAAUCUGGUGAAACUGCUAAUGAUUUUGGGGCUGUGCUACAUAAGUAAUCUCAGCUCUCAUACUUAACAAUUCACCUUCCCAUUUAAGUUUAAUUUCUUUUCGAAUUCUUCUAUUUUCAUUUUGACAGUUGAUUGAAUGAACAAAUUGAUGAAAUAAACAAAAAUAAGACAAAUUAAUAAUUCAGAAAAUAUUUGGGUUUCAUAAAGAAUGUAACAGAACUCUCUCCCGAAUUUGUAUAUUUUGGAAUGGCAAUCGUUGAGCACAAAUCAUGAUAAUGCUGUUUGUUUCAAUCUUUGCUUAUAAAUGAUCUUAAGCUAAAUAUGGUAAAUUUUUGUUUCUUUUUGUUAUAUUUACUAGUUAUAUUUAAGUACAGCCAGAAUAGAAUUAACUGCUAGGUUUUUGUCAUUUAUUAUAUCAUUUUUCAUAUUUUCAGUUUUGUUGUUCUGCUACCUAUUGUUCAAAGUGGGAAUCUGCCAAUGCAUUGUAAGAAGCCUUUGUAAGAUGUGCUGGGCUGCUUGUGAAACAUACUGGUAUGCUUUGGAAGACAUCACAUGUUUCUUGUGGCACAAGCUAUUGAACACCAAACGUAGAAACAGGCGCCGACGCAUUAGAGAUGCUGAAUGGGGGUAUAGUUCAAGCAGUGAUGGAAAUGAUUUUUCAGGUUAUCAUCGCCAUUUAAGUUCGAGAAGAAAACGAUACAUGGAGAGAAACGACUGGUAUGGGCAUGACAGUCAUUGCGGCAGCCGGCACCAUCACGUAAAGCUCAAGACAAGACAAGCGUCAUUUCAUUUAAGAGGAGGAGGGUCAAGAAGACUAAGGAAUUCAAGGCGGCUUCAUUCAAUGAAAGUGAGAAAUCCUCGAAGAAUUUCGAAAAGGCGGCGGCUAAAAUGAACAGAAUGUAAGGGAUCUCUUGAAUCUCUUUGCAGACAAUAUAUAGGAUGUAUAUGGUUUAAUUGGAGUGUAUGAGUGCCAAAAUUUAACACUUAUCGGCGCGUUGAAGUUAUUCUAAAAUUUGUAAAGCCCGUUUAAAUAUAAGUUCUUGAAGAGCCGGCCUAUGUGAAAAUUAAAUUAAGUCUUUACAACGCACAUUAUCAUUCAUACGCAAAUAAUAGAUAUUUACCGAAUCACAAAGGGGGGUAUAUGUCAACUAUCUAAAAGAAUUAAAUCAGUACGUAUUUUUCCAAACAUCAGGGUGAUAUAUGUCAUUACCUCUAAGGACUGUUUUCAGUUACUCACAAGCACUUCUUGACAAAAGCAUUGCCUCCAAGGAAGCAUAGAUUUUGCUUCGUCCAGGCUAAUAUUUCAUGCAACGCUAGAAAUUUGAAUUACUUAGUUGCUUUAUGCGAAAUGCAUUUUGGCUCCUCUUCAAAAAUUAAUUACACCAGCACAUGGAAAAUGCAUAAUUAAGGCUAGUUGAAAUAAUUUUCUCCUAUUUAUUUAUUUUGAAGGCCAAAAUAUUUCUUUCAAGACUAGAGGAAACCAUUACACAAUAUACGAAACAAUUGAAUGGAAAACCAUUACACAUUAUUACUUUGUAUAACGGAUAUAGCUGAUAUUGAUCUUGGAUUACAGAUCCAUAUGGACAUAUGUAGCUUAUAUUGAUCCCAGAUUAGAGAUCAAUACGGAUAUAGCGUACAUUGGUCUUGGAUUAGAGAUCAGUAAUAAAAAAAAAAUCUGAAAAUAAUCAACGAUCAAACUCAGACACACGUAAUUACUAACUAAAUCUCAUACUACAAAUUUAGAUACGGACAAAAACAUUUAUUAGAUCUAAGGCAUAAAAUCAAACAAAUAAAAAAAGAUGGCUGAGAUUGAGAUUUAGAAUAAAAUUUCUUGUCAAUUUUGUGUUUCUUAGGAUAUAAAUAGAGGCCAAAAGUAUCGAGAAAAUAUCUUUUGGCUAUUUUUCUGAAAGUCGAGAGAAAUCCAUAAUCCAAAUCAAGAAAUUCUCUAAACACAAGCGUUAACAAAAACAUCAGAGCAUCUUUUGCAAGCACAUGCUCGAAUCCAAUUUGUGGAGACUCUCAUGGACAACAAAUCAACAUCGAAGCUUGUAGAGUAAACAAGUAUAAGUUACUAUUUACUAUUUCUUUAGUCGUUUUUGUCUAGCUAAUUGAAGGGGUUUUGAACCUUUGCAAGUCAUAAAUGAACUUUUAUAUUCAAACUAGGGUAGUUAAUUAAAUAAACAUAUUUAAAAACCACUCUGCAAUAUAUCUUAAAUGGUAAAAGAUUAUCUAUACAAAACAAAAGAAAUAUGAAAUAUAAAAAUUCCAGCUAUUUGAAGACCAAGUUCUUUUCAUGUGAAAGAGGCAAUAUAUGGAGAAGCAUUUUGACCAAUUUAGAUAGAAAUGUGAAAUUAGUGCAUCCUUGCUUCACGAUUCUACCUUGCUAAUGUAGUGCUUUCGAGAUACCGCAUCAAUAACACAGAAACAAUAACUCUUAUUAAUUUUAGAAAUUUUUUUGAUAAUUUUAAUUAAACUUUUUAUUUAUUUAUCUUGUUUUAAGUUAUAGUGCUUUAUCCUGAAGCAAUAACCAAUUAAUUGAAUUGCUUUCUGUCAAUGAAUACUAAAAGUUUCAAAAAAAAUUAAAAAAAAAAAAGAAAGAAAGAAAGAAAGAGAUGCAAAUUGCUGUUGAUAAUUGAGUUGAAUUUGGGAAACAUAAAAUAAUUUAGCAUAACUUAUGUUGAAUGAAUGAAUUUAUUAAGUUGAUCAAAAAGAGAAAAGAAAAAGAUUAUCCUAUGGAAGAAGAUAAAGCCAGUUUUUUGUAAUAUCUGGAAUGGUGGUGCACGAGGGUACAUUCUCUUACGAUUUAAUCACUUUACUAUUAUUAAUCAAUCUGAUUGAGAAAUGUUUAAUGAGCUAGGAAUGAAUUAUUUAUGAGUUACGACUAUCUCUUUUAAGUUUUUUUUUUUUUAUUGAGUACUCGAUUUUCUGCUCACUCAUUUGAGUCGGAGUUCAACUUUAAAAUUUUAUAUUUCCACUGAAGAGAUUUUACCAAUUCAACUAAUUAGUGCUCAAUCUCCCUUUUAUUUUUAGCUUGCAACCACUAAUUGGCUUAUUUAGCAAGUUCUCUCAUAAUUGUACACAAUGUUCCAAUUUUUUUCAAAUUUUGGACGGGUUUUAAAUAAAUGGACAGCAACACUCGUGUUGACCGUGAUUUGACAAAAUGGUGAUAACUUAUUUUUCAAAAAAAAUUGCGAGGAAUAACCAUUUGAGACAAAAAAAAAAAAACCCAUAAUUUAUUUCUUUCUUUUUUUUUUCUAAUAGAAAUGUUCCCGCAAAUCCUGAAUUUUGACCCAAAAAAAUAUUAUAUAUCCCAAAAGAGUUUGUGCAAUCGUUUUACCAAAUUACACUCCCGGUCGUUUUUCCCUCAGUUCCGUAAAAGAUUGGAUUAUAUAAACAUAUAUGUAAACGAUUAUUAUUAUGAGACUACACAAUUAAAUAUAAAAAAUUUUAAUUAACAAUUUCUUAAUUUUCUCCAUGAUGAGGCCAAUGGUUUGAGUAUUCCAGUGGGUGUGGGAGCUUGGUAACUUUUAAUUAUUUUCUUUGAUUUUAGUUGAAAUUCAACUUUCAUACAUUCAAAUAGAUCUCAACGGACACUAAAUUAAGCUUCAAAAUUCCAAAAGACCUUUAGACCAAUAUUAUUUUUCUUACUCACUUAAUAAACGACAAAUAAGAUGGCAUAAAAGAGGUUAUUUAAUUAAGAGUUUUGUUAAUUUAUAAUUAAUGUAACUUACAAUCCUUGUAAUAAGACAGUAGAUUCCACUAUCAUAUCACAAAUUUUUAUAUAUUUUAUCAUAACUGUAAGUUGCAUAACUUAAUCAAAUCCCACAAUUAAAUAUCACAAUUUCUACCGUACAAUAUUAUGCCAUGGUUUUGUGCGGGGACUUUGAUCUUCUUCUUUUUUUUUUUUUUUCACAAGACAAAAUUAGCAAAAACAAAGCCGACACACAAAACCAUGGCAUAAUAUUAGUGGCAGUAAGUGGUCUCAAAAUCAGGCGUUCUAGCCAGUUUCGUUUGGUGGGCAUAUAUGGCUACAAGACAAAGGCUUUUUGCCUGUCAGUUUCUUCAUCAUCAUCAUCGUCAUUAUUAUUAUUAUUAUUAUUUUCUCUAAAAUCCCAAUUGAAAUCUAACACAAAUAAGUAACCAAUUAAUUAAUUAAUGCUCUCUAAAACCCCCAAUUGAAAUCUCUCUAUAUAUAUGUACAUGAAUAUGCUUCCAAUUCUGCUCUGACACUCUCUCUCACUCACUAAUUUUGCUUCCACUAUUUAUCAAAAACAAUGAAUCAUUUCAUUCUCAUUGCUUCACUUCUUCUCCUUUUCUUGUUAAAUAAUUUUGUUGUUGAAGCUCGACAAAUUGCAAAAAGCACAACUACUGGAACCAGAUGGGUAGUUCUAGUUGCUGGAUCCAAUUAUUAUGAAAAUUAUCGGCACCAGGUUAAAUUUUAUUAAUUGAUUAGUUUUAAUUUUUAUUUAAUCUACAUACAAAUUAAUUUUGUCGAUUUUUCACCAUCAAAUUUGUUGGUUAUUUUUGCAGGCCGAUGUGUGUCACGCGUAUCAAAUUCUGAAAAAUGGAGGAUUAAAAGAUGAAAACAUAAUUGUUUUCAUGUAUGAUGAUAUUGCAUUUAACGUUCAAAAUCCAAGGCCUGGUAUCAUCAUCAACAAGCCGUACGGCCCUGAUGUUUAUAAUGGAGUCCCCAAGGUAUUUAUUUUAUUAUUAUUAUUUUUUUUGCUUGAUAAAUAAAUCAAACUUUUUUAAUUUGAUAUGAUUCCUAUGGCUAUUUUACAGGAUUACAAUGGUGAAAAUUGUACUGCCAAAAAUUUUCUGGCAGUGAUUCUCGGCAACAGAACUGCACUCACCGGGGGCAGUGGCAAGGUUGUAAAUAGUGGUCCGAAUGACUAUAUUUUUAUUUAUUAUGCAGACCAUGGAAGCGCUGGUAUGGUCGGUAAGUAUCAACAUUAUUAAUUAGUAAAAAUUAAUUGUUUUUUAACCUUUAAUUUCUUCUUAUAAUUUUUUUUUUUUACAUCAAUGUUAUAUUUUAUGAUGUUGCUGUAGCAAUGCCUACCGGAGAUGACCUCUACGCUAAAGAUUUGAUAGAGGUGUUAAAAAAGAAACACGAGGCUAAAUCUUAUAAAAGCAUGGUAAGUAAAUGAAAUCAAUUAACCAUUAUGCAAAUUUAAUUACUGGAUGAUAACUAAUCAAUUAAUUAACAAAUUUUUUUUUUUGGUUGGUAAACACGAGGCUAAAUCUUAUAAAAGCAUGGUAAGCAUGUUUGAUGGGCUUCUCACGGAAGACAUGAACAUAUAUGCAGUCACGGCUUCAACUCCUGCAGAGAGCAGCUACGCGAUGUAUUGUCCAGGACAUUAUCCGAGUCCCGAGGAUGAUUUUGAAACUUGUUUGGGUGAUCUCUUCAGUAUUUCUUGGAUUGAAGAUAGGUUAAUUAAUUAAUCAAUUAAUUAAUUAAAAUUUGUUAUAUAUAUAUAUAUAUAUAUAUAUAUAUAUUUAACUUCUCCAUGUAAUGGCAUGCAGUGAAAAACAUGACUUACAGAAUAUACGUCUUUGAAUAUUUGAAGAAUAUACCUAAAGCUUUUAAUUUCUCUGUUUAAAAAUAUAUUUUCUUUCUUUUAAUUUCUUUCUUUGAGGAAAAAAAUGUGAUUUGAUUUUCUUUUUAUACGGUUCAAUUGAUAUUGUAGCUAGUUGUUAUCAGGCCUAAAAACUUCAGUAGUUGGAUGAAAAUAACUAAAAAAGAAAAAUAAAUGAUAACAAAAUAAGAAUAAAGAAUAAAUCCUUUAAUUUGAAUUUUUUUUCCCCGAUAAGAUCAUUCUUUUAACCAGAUCCAAAGAAAUGCUUUAUACUUUUUUUGCAUGACACUUGAGAAAAGAAAAAAACACAUUAGAAGAAAAACAAGGAAUUAUGAUAUUUCAAGACAACAGCUAUAAGAUAAGAAAACCAAAGCAAAUAUAGAAACAAAUACAAUAAAAAAAAGGCAUUAAACAUUCUUUAUCCAUCCUUCAAUUAUUGCCUCAAUAUUAACAGAUCAUUUAAAAUCCCAAAGAUCAUAAUAAUUGUGCUAUUGAGGCUUUGGGACAUUGUAAUAAAAGACUGAGAAAGUUAUCUUUUUUUUCCCUAUAAAAAGUUUUAUUUUCUUAGUCACUAUGAUGCGUAAUUAAAAAAAUUAUCAAAAUCACCACCUAAAGCAACUUAUAAAUACAAAAAUAGUGCUAAACAUCUCAAAUUUUUUAUUUUAAAAAAUUAUGUAAGAUCAUGUGACAUUCACUAACUAGUUGGAGAGAUAAUAUAAUUAAUUUAUCUAGAUUUAAUAAAAAAUUAUCAAUUAUUUAAUUAAUGAAAUUUAAAAUAAAAAAUUUGAGAUGUCUAAUCAUUACUCUAAAUAUAAUAGACACCAAAACAAUAAAAAAUUAAAGUUUAAGAGUUCAAAAUAUUUUAUUUAUAGUCUCAUGAAUAGAACAACAUAAUUGCAAACGGCACAUUCUCACUUAUGUUUCUUUAUAUCCUGAUAAAUAUCUCUUCUACUAAACUUGACAAACACUAAUAUAACAAACCCCAAUUAUUUUCUCCUGUAUUCUUUUGCGCUCUCAUAGGUGUCAUUUUAUUUUUUUGAGUCUUUUGUUGCUAAAUUUUUAGAUUCGUGAUCAAUUCAUUUUCAUGAUUUUUUUUUCAGUCUAUGAUCUUCAUCUAUACAAAUUUAAAAUACUCCCUUUUGUUUUCUUCAUUUUUUCAGAUUAAUUAUUUUUAAUUUUGGGAAACUAAUGUUUUUAAGUUUUGUAAAGAAAGAAAGUUUGGAGAGAAGAAUAAAGAUAACAAUACUUCAAAAGAAAUUAUCACUUAUAGAACUGUUUGUGUGAAAGGUAUGGUAAGAAGACUAUUAAAAAAAAUUUAAGAGUGAGAAAAUUGAUAGAAAUAAAAGAAAAUUUGGAAAUCAAAGCACACACAAAUUAAGGAUGAUAAUUUAGAAAGAAAUGAUCUUUUUGGUAUUAAAUGGAUCAUAAUUGAGAGGGGGUUUUAAAAGAAUAAUGGAAAGGUGUUAAAAGCCUCUCUCUUUUGAAUUUUUGUGCCUUUCCAUUGUUUGGUUGACUAUGAAAUGGGGGAAUUUAUUAAUUUCCUUUGAAAUAAAGGAAAUUAAUAAAUUCCAUCCAAUUAAGGGAUCUGAAUUAUUCACCGAAGAGUGAAACAGGGGCGGAGCUAUUUGUGGGCUGGGGCUGUAGCCUGUCUAAAAUUUUGAUAAGAGUUCUGCUAUUUACUCCGGGUCAAACCCCGAAAGUAAUUGAAACGACGUCGUUUCCUUUUUUUUUUUUUUCCUUUUUUGUUCUCCAUAAAACGACGACGUUUGGUUUAAUUAGCAUCAGCCCCAAUUGUUCUCUCUUCAUCUUCAUUUCAGAACCGAUCCCAAGCACUGCAAAACCCUUUCAUCUUGAGAUUCUUCACCACUUUGACUCUUCUUGAAUAAUUCCAAAAGGGAAAAAAAGAAAAAAAAAAGGGUCAUGUCACAUUAGAGAGCAACUUUGUGCUAUACAUUCUUCAAGUUGAGCUGAGGAAACUGAAGUUCAAAGUUAUCAGGACAAAUUUUGAUCCAUAUACAUUUAUUCACAUACAUGAAUUAUUACCAGCAACGUGUCAUUGGAUUUUCACAUGCACACAUGCAUCUUCUUCUUUGCAAAAUGAAAAGCACUUCAUUUCUCUCAGCAAAAACACUUCUUAGUUCGUUCUCAUAUGCUUAGAUUACAAGUUUAAUUACUGCAAUUUCAGGCUAUUGUGAGACGAAGAGAAAAUGAAGAGAAAGAGAGCAAUUUGGAGUUGUUAUUGAUUUUGUUUUAACCAAGCUGAAACGAAGGGGAAGAGAAACAGAGAAAUAGAAGGAGGGGCUGUGAGAGAGAGAGAGAGCAAUUUGUUGAGACGAAGAGAACGAAGUGAAGGAGUGGGGCUGUUGUUGAUUUUUUUUUCCUUAAAACGACGUCGUUUUAGGGAGAAUGAAAUGAAAAAAAAAAGAAUUAAAACAACGUCGUUUAUUAUUUUCGGGGUUUCAAAAUUUACAAAAUUGUCAUUGCUUUACACUUUUAUUUACAACUUCACCAUUCUAUUAAUUUACCACUUUGUCAUUCUUAUAAAUAAAUAAAAUGAGCAUUUACUUUAUUCUUGGAGAACGCGCUCUCUUUGUUUUUUGGCUCCUUCGUGCUGACAUGCUCUGCUUCUUCAGUUAUUCGUCUUCUCUUGGUAGGAAUAUAUAACAUAUUAAUUUUUUAUUUGAUCAUUUACAAUAUAUUUAUAAAUUGUAAGAUAGUAAAGACUAAAAAUCAUAUUCUUUAGUUAGUUUAUGUUCUAAUUUUAUUAUGUAAGAUUAAAUUAUUGUUAGGUCAAACCAUUGAAUUCUAGCAAUUAAAUUUUUAAAUUUAUUAUUGAUAAAUCAUAGAUUAGAGAUAAUUAUUUUAGUGAAAAAUAAGAAGAAAUGCAAGAGCUCAUCAAGACACCACUUUAAAAUAAGAUAGAGAAAUUUAUAUCAGACUGUAGGAUUAUCUAUGUUGAAAGAAAAUUUCUAGACAUUGUCGAUUCAAAUUCGAUAAUAGAUGAAUUUAAUUCUUGAAAGUUUAGAAAGACACAACUGAAAUAUUAUUUAAUUGUAAUUGAAUUGCUUCUUAAAAUUGAUGUAUUUUCUUAUGUAUUAAUGAAAUUUUCAUUAAAAAUUAUAUUUUUAAUUGCGAUAAUAUUUGGACUUGGAAAAAAUUUAACACACCCAAAAUUUUUUUCUUUACUUCGCCCGUGAAAUGAGGAAUCCAAAUUCCAAAUUCACUAGAAAUCUAAACUUCCAAAUUUACCCCUUUUAUAUUUCACUAUUAAUUAGUUUAUUGUUAAUAAAGCAAUUAUUAUUUAUAAUUUUUUUGUCACGUAAUUUAACGGCAAAGUUUGAUUCAACAAGAAAUUUUUUUAAAAAGAUUUAUUUGAUUUAACCAAAAAAAGCCCGUUAAUUACACUUAAAUGUAAUUUUUUUAAUUUAAAAAAUAAAAAAUAAUUGAGUAGGGGAAAAAGUAUAUUUUAUAACUAAUUGUAGGAAUAAAAAUGUCAUUUUGUAACUAUUAUAGGGACAAAAUAUUAUUUUAUAAUUAAUUCUAAGGGCAAAAAUUUCAUUUUGUAAUUAAUUUACUAUUCCCAUUGAAUCUAACAACAAAGUUAACGAAUGAUCACCCGCUUGAUUAUUUUUUUAAAAACUUAUCAUUUUUAAAAAAUUUGUCAAAACAUGUGUCACCUAAAGGUAAUUAACUCUUAUUUUUUAAAUUCUUAGGUGUUUACCAUUUGAUUUAAUCACGUAACAUAUACCUAUGGCGAAAAAACAUAUCUCAUCCUUCUAUCAACAAACAGUAACGUCUAAAUCUUCCAGCUUGUUUUUGGGGUCUGAGGCAUUUUCGUCUUUCAUUAGUCAAAUGGACGGUAAAGCUGAUGACAGGAGUGGUAUGUAAUAAUACAGCAAACUCACCAUCUAAAUAUAAAUACGUGAAACUUCAGGGGAAGCUAUCUAAACGUUACCCUACUAGAAAAUGGGCCCAAUCCCCGUUAGCAGCCCCCAUUGAAAGAGUGCGGCAAAGCAACCACCUGGGUAAAAGUACAGUUUAAAAAUAAAAAUGAAAAAGAAUAGGAUAUUCAUAUCUUACGUGCACGUAAGAUAUAUUAUAAAUAAAAUUAAUUAUUUGUUUAUGACCUGAUUGAAGGUUGAUAUAAAUCUUGUAUUUUAUGACUUUAUAGCGAUUUUUUAGAAUUUCAAAGUUCAAACCCAUAAAAAAUGAUAAGUAAAGUGAGACUGAGAAUUCAUUUGGCUUGGCAAUGGUGAUGGUAAAAUGAAUUUUUUCCUCGGUUUAUUGACUGUUCUUAAUGAGUCGUGAUCUAAUAAUCAAUUCUUUUGUCCUUUCUCUUAUAUUUCCACAUAUGAAUAAUCAUGGUUUGACUAAAGAAUUUUUUUUUUUUUCCUCUAUGGACCAUUCGCAGUCAGUCAUGGCUUAACGAAAAAAUUUCUCUCUCGUUUUUCCUUUAUUAAAUAAAAUCAUUUGUCAAACAAUAUUUGGCAUCAAAGAGCAACUUGGUCGAAAUACAAUAUUUGGUUGACGUUCGUUUCUUCCACAUAAAAAAUAUUAUGUGCACCCAACUAACAUUUUUUUCAUAAAGAUUCCUUUGAUGAUCAUCAUAUAUCAUCAUCUCAUUUGAAAGAAAUAUGUUUACAUAAAAUUUAGAAUAUGGUAAUGCUAUAAUGACUUUAAAAAAAAAAAUUCAAGGGUUUAUUUGCCCUCGUAAGAUCAAACUACAUGUACAUGUAUAUAUUUUAAAAAAACAAAAAGCUACAAAUACAUGUUGCAACAAUUUGUGAACAACUAAAGUAACCUAAACCAUAAAUACUAACCAAAGUAUUUUCCAAGCAUUGAGUUACUUUAAAACAAUCUCUCGUUAUUAUUAUUAUUAUUAUUUUAAAUCUAUAUACAACAUUGCCAUAGUAAUGCAUUUUAAGAAAGUUUUAUGGAGUACACAAUCCCAGAUUUUAUCAAUUAAAUACCCUUUGAGACAAUUGUUGGCAGGUUCAAAAAUAAUUUUUAUUAGGAAGUUUAAAAUUAAUUUCGAUGUUUGAUAAUUUAUUUUAAAAGCGUAAAUUUUGAAUUACUCCUUUCGUGAAAUGAUAAUUUUUAAAAUAUGAUUUAAAUUGUUGUAAACUUGAAUUUAUUUCUUUUUUAUUCAAAAGAUUAGGCAAAAAUGAGGGUGGGUUGAUAUUUUUUUUUUUAUCUUCUUACAAAAAUAUGGGAUAAAUUGAUUUUUACGAUACUUUAAAGAUAUUUUAAAAGUUGUCAUUUCACAAGAAGGUAAUCUGAAAUUAAUCUUUUUUUUUCGAAAUAGUAUUGGCAAAACCAAUUCCUACAGCACAUUCUGAUUAUGUUAAGAAAGUUUCAUUUAACAUUUUGCCUAUUUUAAUUAUUUACAUUAUCAUAGUAAUUUAACAUUAAAUUUCCUAAACACAAAAUUCGUACCGACAACAGUAAAAUUGCUUUCUUUAUAUUUUUAACAAUUUAAGAAUAAAUGCCUGAGUCCAUAUUAACCAUAUAAACAUGUUCAAUAAUCACGAUUAUCAAAGAAUUUAAAGAUUAAUAUAGAAUUUAUAAAACGAGAAUCAGGCCUCAAACCGGACAAAACAAGAAUAUUCGGUCCGGUUUGAAUCCGGUCCGGAUGCUGUAACAUAAAUCUCGGUUGCUAAUUUUAUGUUUACAUGUCAACUUAUGACCUGGCAGUCUGCCACAAUCCUAUUGGUCUGCUGACAUGUCAAUUUUACUCGAACAAAUAUCCAAAAAAAUUAAAAAUUAAAAUAAAAGGAAAGUGAGAAAAAAGGAAAAAUAAUAAAUCUCGCUCAUGAAGUCUAAUUUGCUUCUCACUUAAAAGUCCUGCAAAUAAUAAUAAUAAUAAUAAUAAGGGUUCCUCUAUGAUGCUGUAAUUUUUUUACAACAUCAAUAAUGUUUUUAAUUGUGCACCAUUGGAUUUAAUCAAUGGUACACAAUAUUUGUAGGUGAAAAUAAAAAUAAAAAAUAAUAGUAAACGGUUAACAAGCGUGUAAGGGGUAGAGAAGUUUGUAAAAUAACUAUGACCACCCUUAGAGUUUGAAACAAUUUCACUUAAAUAAUAUAUUUUAUUUAAAAUUAUUUUUCAAUCCCCCUUUAAAAUUGAAAUGUGAUAAUCUUUUUUAAAUAAAUCUUCCAAAAUCUAUUACCAUUAAGUAUAAAAUAUAAUGGUAGGUUAUUUAACACAAAUCAAAUAAAUAAGUUGCAAUUGCAAAAUUUAUAUAUGAUAUAACAUUAAUAAAUAACACAACUAAGUACAUAUACUUAAGUAAAUGUCAUAGUUACAUCAAUAAACUCAUUGUUGAGAUUGCUUGUAACAUAAAAAUUACUUGAUCACACAUGUUUUAAUAAAAUUUAAAAUCGUAUAUUAAAAUACUCAUUAUUUUAUAUAAUAUUAAGGGUCAUUGUAUAAUUGAUCAUGAAGUAUGUAUUAUUUUUAAUACCCAUUUAACAUACUUAUUUUCUUACCUUUAUAUUUAUCUUACAGUUAAUAUCCUUACAUGGUAGGAGUUUUAAGUUUUAUAAGCUUAUAUAUUUUCAUUUUAUUUUCAAAUAUCACUUUGUUAAUUUCAUAAAAGUUAAAUCGAAUAUAUAUUCCUAAUGAGCUUUAGUUUAUGAAUCGUGAAAGAUUAUUUUAUUGAUAUCAUUUGAUUGUAAUUAUAAAAUUUUAUGUUAUGAAGAGUCAUUACUUUCGUUAUGAUAGUUCAUAGUGACAAUUAAUAAAAUAUUGCCUUCAAUAAUAUUUACGUGGGAAAAAAGUGAAAGAAAAUCAUUUAUAUUUUUAUAUUUUUAUUGACAUGGUAGGAAAUUAUCUCAGCCUUAUAAAAUUUAACUUUCACAAGCUUGUUUUCAUUUUAUUUUCAAAUGUCACUUUGUUAAUUUCAUAAAAGUUAAAUCUAACACACAUUCCUAAUUAACUUUAGUUUAUAAAUCAUAAAAGAUUAUUUUAUUGUUAUUCUUUGAUAGUAAUUAUAAAAUUUAUAUGCUACGAAGAGUCAUUACUUUUAUUAUGAUAAUUAAUAGUGACAAUAAAUAAAAUAUUACAUCAAAUAAUAUUUAAUGGACAAAAUGAGGAAAAAAAUCAUUGUAUGUUUUUAUAUUUCCAUUAUACAGAUAUGAUUUGUGAUACUUUAACUUAAAAUUUUGGCACAAUAUUUGAGCCACUAAUAUCUCAUAGUCUAAUGGUUGAUAUUGAAAGUCAAAGCACCAUUUCAUAAUGUUAUAUCCUCCACCAUUGAAUUGCAUGAAAUAAAUAGUUUAAUUUUUUGAUAAAAAUUUAAAUCAAAAUAUUUAUCACUCUAUAGUUACAUAGACAUAUAUAUUUUUCAAUAAUAAUUGGUGAAUAAAAUAUUUCUCAUUUGUUGUGACUCAUAUAGUAUUAUUAAUAAAACACAUAUAAAAUAGUUUAUUGCAAUGCUUUCUAUUAUCAUUAUUGUUUAGGUAUUAAUGGUUUGUAAUUAAAUUCAUACAAUACAAAUUAUUACAAGACUUUGUGUUAAAUAACCUACUUGAUAUUAUAUUUUAUACUUAAUGGUAACUGAUUUUGGAAGAUUUAUUUAAAAGAAAUUAUCAUAUUACAAAUUUAAAGGAGGGCUGAAAAGUAAUUUUAAAUAAAAUAUACUAUUUAAGUGAAAAUGUUUCAAACUUUAAGGGUGGUCACAAUUAUUUUACAAAACUUAUCUACCUACUUGAACGGUUACCAUUAUUUUUAAAUUAUUUUUUUAGUACAAAUAUUGUAUACCAUUGAUUAGAUCUAAUGGUUCACAAUUAAUACAUUAUUGAUGAUGUAAAAAAAUUUACAGCAUCAUAGAGGAACCCUAAUAAUAAGAAUCUUGACAGAAGAUUGUGUGUGAGAGAGAGAGAGAGCUGUUAAAGAUCGAACAAGUUUCGAGCAUUUUUGUGUUUUUACAGAACUCCAUUGCAUUGGUAAUAUUCUACUUUUUCUCUGUUCAUUAUUCUGUGUUAAUUUGUGAAUCUGCUUAUAGAUCGAACAAUUUUGUGAUAUUUUUAUAACUCAAUUGUGUGUAAAUGCAUUUGGAUUAGGGUUUCGACGUUUAGAUCUUGCGUUUCGUUAUGUUCUGUUUGGUUGCCGUUAAAAUGUUGCAAAUGAAGGCUCGUUACAGUUGUUAAUUUCUCAAUGUUUCUUAUCUUGUUCAUUUGGUGCAAUUAAAAUGAUUUGAUUUAUUGGCAUUUGGUUUUCGUUUGAAAUUUUUUUUUUUCAGGAUAAGUGAUGGUGAUAAUAUUUGCAAAGAUCGGCCGAGGACGUAUAUCGGCAGAAUAUACGUUCCCCAACAUGCGUAGUAAACCUUAUGUUCCUAUGGUAAGUAGGCAGCAGUAUAGCAUUUACAUAUUUGUCAAGUCUUGUAGAAAUUUCUUUCAUUGGAUCAUCUAUUGUUGCCAUCAAUCAUGCCCAGAAUAGCUAUAGGAACUGUCUAUGGGAUACUCCACCCUUUAAGAAUAGCCAAACAGGGAGAGAUGGUUAAUUGUGAAAAUUUUAUAAAAUUUGAAUUGAAGAUCUAGUGUACUGUUUUAAUUGAAUAAAAAGAUAAACACUUCAUUAAACAUGGUAUCAUCCUCAACUCUAGUACCCGAAAAAUAGAAAGACAUAAUUAAAUUUAGAGUAAUAGAACAAAAAAAAAGCCAUUAAAAGCUUUCUCACUAAUUUUUUUUAAUCAUGUAUAAGUUUAGACCCUAACCCAAAUAAAUUUGGAGCCCAAGUUGAUGGGCUUUCAUUUUCACUGUUUUUUAUAGUUUCUUGCCCAUAAAUAAUAACCGUCUCUAUGCAUCUGUUUGUUUCUCUGUGUAAUGUGUAUUUCUAACUCAAGACUUCAGAAACGCUUUUCCCUUCGCUUCUAUGAUCAGAUUUCUGGUUAGUAAAUAAAUUAAAUACAUUUCUUACUCUUUUUCCCUAUCUAUUUUCAUAAAUUUAGUGAUGGGUUCCCCUUCAUUUUAUUUAUGGUGCUCAUAAUUAUAUGCCAUUUUGCCUUUUCAAUCCUUUGUUGGUUGCCCUUUUAGUAUAUUACAUGCAAUUUCAAUGGCUAUGGUUUUCUUAAAUUAUUAUUACUGUUAUUUUUAUAUAUAUAUUUAUUUAUGUUGUUGUUGUUGUGUAGCUUCAGAUGGUCUAAUUGAAAUUACGAAUGUGGAUUAGUGUCAAAAUGGGAAGUGUUUGUGAAGUAGUAUAAUAGCAAUAAUAUAGCAAAAGCAAUGGGGACUGUGAUUAGUAAAGCUGCUAGUGGUAUAGGCAGUGUUCUUGGCACUGCUUUCGUGGCUCCAUUUAAGAGCAUCUUCAAUGGAUCUUGUGAGUAAGUAAUUCUAAUUCGUCAUCUCUCAUAACGCUUCUCUUUAUUCGUAUAAAUCUUUACAACAUUAAUUAUGUAUGUAAUUGCUUUAGUUGCUUAAUUAUACCAUAAUAAUGAAAGGGAGUAUCUUGCAAGUUACAAUCUAUUUGAUUAUUGCCAAUGUAAUGAUCUAUAUGUGUUCAUUUGAAAGAGGUCGUAUCAAUUGCUUUAUGCAUACAUGCGCGCGCAUUUAUUGAAUGGUGGUUUGAUUCGAUUUGCUUGGCUAUGCAGGGAUGUUUGUCCAGGACCAUGGGACAUAAUUUGUUUCAUCGAGCACUUAUGUGUCACCAAUCUGGUGAAACUGCUAAUGAUUUUGGGGCUGUGCUACAUAAGUAAUCUCAGCUCUCAUACUUAACAAUUCACCUUCCCAUUUAAGUUUAAUUUCUUUUCGAAUUCUUCUAUUUUCAUUUUGACAGUUGAUUGAAUGAACAAAUUGAUGAAAUAAACAAAAAUAAGACAAAUUAAUAAUUCAGAAAAUAUUUGGGUUUCAUAAAGAAUGUAACAGAACUCUCUCCCGAAUUUGUAUAUUUUGGAAUGGCAAUCGUUGAGCACAAAUCAUGAUAAUGCUGUUUGUUUCAAUCUUUGCUUAUAAAUGAUCUUAAGCUAAAUAUGGUAAAUUUUUGUUUCUUUUUGUUAUAUUUACUAGUUAUAUUUAAGUACAGCCAGAAUAGAAUUAACUGCUAGGUUUUUGUCAUUUAUUAUAUCAUUUUUCAUAUUUUCAGUUUUGUUGUUCUGCUACCUAUUGUUCAAAGUGGGAAUCUGCCAAUGCAUUGUAAGAAGCCUUUGUAAGAUGUGCUGGGCUGCUUGUGAAACAUACUGGUAUGCUUUGGAAGACAUCACAUGUUUCUUGUGGCACAAGCUAUUGAACACCAAACGUAGAAACAGGCGCCGACGCAUUAGAGAUGCUGAAUGGGGGUAUAGUUCAAGCAGUGAUGGAAAUGAUUUUUCAGGUUAUCAUCGCCAUUUAAGUUCGAGAAGAAAACGAUACAUGGAGAGAAACGACUGGUAUGGGCAUGACAGUCAUUGCGGCAGCCGGCACCAUCACGUAAAGCUCAAGACAAGACAAGCGUCAUUUCAUUUAAGAGGAGGAGGGUCAAGAAGACUAAGGAAUUCAAGGCGGCUUCAUUCAAUGAAAGUGAGAAAUCCUCGAAGAAUUUCGAAAAGGCGGCGGCUAAAAUGAACAGAAUGUAAGGGAUCUCUUGAAUCUCUUCGUAGACAAUAUAUAGGAUGUAUAUGGUUUAAUUGGAGUGUAUGAGUGCCAAAAUUCAACACUGCACGUUUGCAUGCAUCUAAAAUGUUAGUAUUGAACAUAUUGGCAGAAAUGUGAAGCCCCAUUGAAGUUAUUCUCAAAUUUGUAAAGCCCGUUUAAAUAUAGGUUCUUGAAGAGCCGGCCUAUGUGAAAAUUAAAUUAAGUCUUUACAACGCACAUUAUCAUACGCAAAUAAUAGAUAUUUACCGAACCACAAAGGGGGGGUAUAUGUCAACUAUCUAAAAGAAUUAAAUCAGUAUGUAUUUUUCCAAACAUCAGAGUGAUAUAUGUCAUUACCUCUUAAGGACUAUUUUCAGUUACUCACAAGCACUUCUUGACAAAAGCAUUACCUCCAAGGAAGCAUAGAUUUUGCUUCGUCUAGGCUUAUAUCUCAUGCAACGCUUGAAACUUUAAUUACUUAAGUGCUUUAUGCGAAAUGCAUUUUGGCUCCUCUUCAAAAAUUAAUUACACCAGCGCAUGGAAAAUGCAUAAUUAAGGCUUGUUGAAAUAAUUUUCUCCUAUUUAUUUAUUUUGAAGGCCAAAAGAUUUCUUUCAAGACUAGAGGAAAACAUUACACAAUAUACGAAACAAUUGAAUGGAGAAUUUUUCAUUCAAACUGUUAAGUGCCACACACUGCACCACGUUUGACAUGUGCAGCAAACAUUAUUAAUUUGUAUAACGGAGAUAGCUGAUAUUGAUCUUGGAUUACAGAUCAAUACGGAUAUAGAGUAUAUUGGUCUUGGAUUAGAGAUCCGUAAUAAAAAAAAAAAAUCUGAAAAUAAUCAACGACCAAACUCAGACACACGUGAUUACUAACUAAUAAAUCUCAUACUACAAAUUCAGAUACGGACAAAAACAUUUAUUAGAUCUAAGGCAUAAAAUCAAACAAAUAAAAAAAGAUGGCUGAGAUUGAGAUUUAGAAUAAAAUUUCUUGUCAAUUUUGGUGUUUCUUAGAAUAUAAAUAGAGGCCAAAAGUAUCGAGAAAAGAUCUUUUGGCUAUUUUUCUGAAAGUCCAGAGAAAUCUAUAAUCCAAAUCAAGAAAUUCUCUAAACACAAGCGUUAACAAAAACAUCAGAGCAUCUUUUGCAAGCACAUGCUCGAAUCCAAUUUGUGGAGACUCUCAUGGACAACAAAUCAACAUCGAAGCUUGUAGAGUAAACAAGUAUAAGUUACUAUUUACUAUUUCUUUAGUCGUUUUUGUCUAGCUAAUUGAAGGGGUUUUGAACCUUUGCAAGUCAUAAAUGAACUUUUAUAUUCAAACUAGGGUAGUUAAUUAAAUAAACAUAUUUAAAAACCACUCUGCAAUAUAUCUUAAAUGGUAAAAGAUUAUCUAUACAAAACAAAAGAAAUAUGAAAUAUAAAAAUUCCAGCUAUUUGAAGACCAAGUUCUUUUCAUGUGAAAGAGGCAAUAUAUGGAGAAGCAUUUUGACCAAUUUAGAUAGAAAUGUGAAAUUAGUGCAUCCUUGCUUCACGAUUCUACCUUGCUAAUGUAGUGCUUUCGAGAUACCGCAUCAAUAACACAGAAACAAUAACUCUUAUUAAUUUUAGAAAUUUUUUUGAUAAUUUUAAUUAAACUUUUAUUUAUUUAUCUUGUUUUAAGUUAUAGUGCUUUAUCCUGAAGCAAUAACCAAUUAAUUGAAUUGCUUUCUGUCAAUGAAUACUAAAAGUUUCAAAAAAAAUUAAAAAAAAAAAAAGAAAGAAAGAAAGAAAGAAAGAGAUGCAAAUUGCUGUUGAUAAUUGAGUUGAAUUUGGGAAACAUAAAAUAAUUUAGCAUAACUUAUUGUAAAUGAAUGAAUUUAUUAAGUUGAUCAAAAAGAGAAAAAGAUUAUCCUAUGGAAGAAGAUAAAACCAGUUAUGUAAUAUCUGGAAUGGUGGUGCACGAGGGUACAUUCUCUUACUAUUUAAUCACUUUACUAUUAUUAAUCAAUCUGAUUGAGAAAUGUUUAAUGAGCUAGGAAUGAAUUAUUUAUGAGUUACGACUAUCUCUUUUAAGUUUUUUUUUUUUUAUUGAGUACUCGAUUUUCUGCUCACUCAUUUGAGUCGGAGUUCAACUUUAAAAUUUUUUAUUUCCACCAAAGAGAUUUUACCAAUUCAACUAAUUAGUACUCAAUCUCUCUUUUAUUUUUAGCUUGCAACCACUAAUUGGCUUAUUUAGCAAGUUCUCUCAUAAUUGUACAAAAUGUUCCAAUUUUUUUCAAAUUUUGGACGGGUUUUAAAUAAAUGGACAGCAACACUCGUGUUGACCGUGAUUUGACAAAAUGGUGAUAACUUAUUUUUAAAAAAAAUUGCGAGGAAUAACCAUUUGAGACAAAAAUCAAAAACCCCAUAAUUUAUUUCUUUCUCUUUUUUUUCUAAUAGAAAUGUUCCCGCAAAUCCUGAAUUUUGACCCAAAAAAAUAUUAUAUAUCCCAAAAGAGUUUGUGCAAUCGUUUUACCAAAUUACACUCCCGGUCGUUUUUCCCUCAGUUCGGUAAAAGAUUGGAUUAUAUAAACAUAUAUGUAAAAGAUUAUUAUUAUGAGACUACACAAUUAAAUAUAAAAAAUUUUAAUUAACAAUUUCUUAAUUUUCUCCAUGAUGAGGGCAAUGGUUUGAGUAUUCCAGUGGGUGUGGGAGCUUGGUAACUUUUAAUUAUUUUCUUUUAUUUUAGUUGUAAUUCAACUUUCAUACAUUCAAAUAGAUCUCAACAGACACUAAAUUAAACUUCAAAAUUCCAAAAGACCUAUUAGAAUAAUAUUAUUUUUAUUACUCACUUAAUAAACGAAAAAUAAGAUGACAUAAAAGAGGUUAUAUAAUUAAGAGUCUUGUUAAUUUAUAAUUAAUGUAACUUACAAUCCUUAUAAUAAGACAGUAAAUUCCACUAUCAUAUCACAAAUUUUUAUAUAUUUUAUCAUAGCUGUAAGUUGCAUUGAAUGUAACUUAAUAAAAUCCCACAAUUAAAUAUCACAAUUUCUACCGUACAAUAUUAUGCCAUGCUUUUGUGCGGGGGCUUUGAUUUUUCUUUUUUCUUUUUUCACAAGACAAAAUUGGCAAAAACAAAAGGUUUCCAAAGCCGACACACAAAACCAUGGCAUAAUAUUAGUGGCAGUAAGUGGUCUCAAAAUCAGGCGUUCUAGCCAGUUUCGUUUGGUGGGCAUAUAUGGCUACAAGACAAAGGCUUUUUGCCUGUCAGUUUCUUCAUCAUCGUCAUCGUCAUUAUUAUUAUUAUUAUUUUCUCUAAAAUUCCAAUUGAAAUCUAACACAAAUAAGUAACCAAUUAAUUAAUUAAUGCUCUCUAAAACUCCCAAUUGAAAUCUCUCUAUAUAUAUGUACAUGAAUAUGCUUCCAAUUCUGCUCUGACACUCUCUCUCACUCACUAAUUUUGCUUCCACUAUUUAUCAAAAACAAUGAAUCAUUUCAUCCUCAUUGCUUCACUUCUUCUCCUUUUCUUGUUAAAUAAUUUUGUUGUUGAAGCUCGACAAAUUGCAAAAAGCACAACUACUGGAACCAGAUGGGUAGUUCUAGUUGCUGGAUCCAAUUAUUAUGAAAAUUAUCGGCACCAGGUUAAAUUUUAUUAAUUGAUUAGUUUUAAUUUUUAUUUAAUCUACAUACAAAUUAAUUUUGUCGAUUUUUCACCAUCAAAUUUGUUGGUUAUUUUUGCAGGCCGAUGGGUGUCACGCGUAUCAAAUUCUGAAAAAUGGAGGAUUAAAAGAUGAAAACAUAAUUGUUUUCAUGUAUGAUGAUAUUGCAUUUAACGUUCAAAAUCCAAGGCCUGGUAUCAUCAUCAACAAGCCGUACGGCCCUGAUGUUUAUAAUGGAGUCCCCAAGGUAUUUAUUUUAUUAUUAUUAUUUUUUUUGCUUGAUAAAUAAAUCAAACUUUUUUAAUUUGAUUAUAUGAUUCCUAUGGCUAUUUUACAGGAUUACACUGGUGAAAAUUGUACUGCCAAAAAUUUUCUGGCAGUGAUUCUCGGCAACAGAACUGCACUCACCGGGGGCAGUGGCAAGGUUGUAAAUAGUGGUCCGAAUGACUAUAUUUUUAUUUAUUAUGCAGACCAUGGAAGCGCUGGUAUGGUCGGUAAGUAUCAACAUUAUUAAUUAGUAAAAUUAAUUGUUUUUUUAAGCUUUAAUUUCUUAUUAUUAUUAUUUUUUCUUCAAUCUUAUAAAUUUUUUCACAUCAAUGUUUUUAUAAUUUAUGUGCUGCAGCAAUGCCUACUGGAGAUGACCUCUACGCUAAAGAUUUGAUAGAGGUGUUAAAAAAGAAACACGAGGCUAAAUCUUAUAAAAGCAUGGUAAGUAAAUGAAAUCAAUUAACCAUUAUGCAAAUUUAAUUACUAGUUGAUAACUAAUCAAUUAAUUAACAAAUUUUUUUUCUUUAUGGUUGGUAAUUUUGGGGGGGAAAUUAAUUAGGUAUUUUACCUUGAAGCUUGCGAAUCCGGAAGCAUGUUUGAUGGGCUUCUCACGGAAGACAUGAACAUAUAUGCAGUCACGGCUUCAACUCCUGCAGAGAGCAGCUACGCGAUGUAUUGUCCCGGGCAUUAUCCGAGUCCCGAGGAUGAUUUUGAAACUUGUUUGGGUGAUCUCUUCAGUAUUUCUUGGAUUGAAGAUAGGUUAAUUAAUUAAUCAAUUAAUUAAUUAAAAUUUGUUAUAUAUAUAUAGAGUGCUACUAAAUAUCAAGAACAAUCGAGAGAAGGACGAGAGAAUUACCUCUUCUCUCUCUGCUGUCAGCUUUUUCUCUCUCUCUCUCUCCUCCUACCACAUGCUUCAUUCUCUCGUCUUUCUCUCGUUUUUCUUGAUACUUAGCAUUUUCCAUAUAUAUAUAUUUUAACUUCUCUGUGUAAUGGCAUGCAGUGAAAAACAUGAUUUACAGAAGGAGACACUGGAGCAACAACACGGAGUGGUAAAAUCUAUUUUUUUUAUUAAUUAAAGUUACCACGUCUCUCUCUCUUUUUUUUUUUAAAUAAAAUAAAAUUCUCUGGUUAAUUCCGUCGAGUUUUACAGGUUCGGAGGAGGACAUUGGUAGAUUAUUUAGACUUUAGCUCUCAUGUAAUGCAGUACGGAAACAAAGAGCUGAGCAAAGAGCCAAUUUUUACGUAUAUUGGCACGAAUCCUGAUAACGACAACUUCACGAUGAAGGCUGAAGAAUUUUCUUCUAACCCAUCAGCUGAAAUUGCUCAUUCGAGUCGUUUGACGAGGGGAGCUGUUAGUCAACGCGAUGCUCAACUUCAUUAUCUUUGGCACAGGGUAAUUCAAUUAAUCUUAUCCAAUUAUUGUUUAAUUAGAUCUUGUAAUUUGAGUAAUAAUAAUGUUUAUUCUUGCAGUUCAAUAGAUCGGCUGAUGGGUCUAGUGAGAAGAUCGAUGCUCAGAAGCAAUUACAGAAUGAGAUUUUAAGCAGGCAGCAAGUGGAUCAAAAUAUACAUCAAAUCAUAGCACAAGUUUUCGGGGAAGAAAAUGUGUCGAAAAUGAUUGAGUCCAUUCGACCAGCAGGCCAGCCUCUUGUAGACGACUGGGAUUGCUUGAAAAUGCUUGUAAGUUUUUAUAUUAUUAUUAUUUUUCUAAAUUAAUUCCAUUAUUAUCUCAGUAGGCACACAUAUAAUCAUUUUUAAGUGCGGCUGUCUUUAUUUUUUUAAUGCAGAUGUGCGGUUUAAUAGUGUGUUUGCACUCACUCUAUUAAAUCGCACGGUUUAACAAUGUGUCUAUUUAAGAAAAGAAAACGACAUUCGUAAUAGAGAAAGACUAUUUGAUAGAUUAUUUUGAUUACUUAAUUAAUUAUAUACAUGUGAGAAUUUAUGGGGAAAUUUGUGGAUCAUUAUCAAUAUAUGGAAAGAAGUAUACAAGAGCAAUGGCCAACAUGUGCAAUGCUGGAAUCAAUGAGAAGCAGAUGACUUUGGCAUCCAAUCAAGCUUGUUUGAAAUAAAAUAAGUAAAAUGAUUAUUUGAAUAAGUUCUUGAAAUAAAAUACGUCUUUGAAUAUUUGAAGAAUAUACCUAAAGCUUUUAAUUUCUCUGUUUA